UGAGAAGGGAAUCUUUUCCUUCUCUUUUGUGAAUAAAAGAAAAUCGUUUCCCUUCUCAUGUAUAGGAAGGGGAAAGAUUUCACUUUACCACUGGCCCAACAGACUCUUGACAUUAGUACAUCCUGGACCAAGUCCAAACCGGAGUCAAAUGGGCCCGUAGCCUGGCAUGAUACGCAUACCGCGCACGUUAGCUAAUAAUUACUGUGGUCGUUGCAAAUUAAAUACGAUUGCGGAUUGGAAUUUACCGAAGCAGCUAAAAAUUUUUUAAAAAAAAAGGAGGAAAAGAAAAAGAAGAAAAACCUAACAACAGCUCACCGAACGAGAAACCACCGAAUUUUUGGAUAAGAAAGAGUAAAAAGAAAUUUUUUUUUUUUUUUUAAUAUUCAUCUUCUUUUUCUCACGUCUCUUUCUUUUGUAGCCAUCUCUGUUUCUCUUCUUUUCUCCUCUCUUUACGCUUUCUUUUCUUUAUUUGAAACCCUUGUAACAAUCUCGCAUCAGUUUCAGUUUGAAGAAAAAAAGGGGAAAAUUCUCAUUCGGAAUUUUGAUCUUUACCUCAAUCACGGAGCUUAGAUCUAAAUUUCUAACUUAUCAGGUAAUUUUUGUUGUCUAUAAUAUUUGGAUUACAUCUAGGGUUUUAAUUCUCUAAUCUAGUCGUUAUGCCUUUGAAUUAUGGGUGCAUGCUUUGUUUUGUCGAUAUGUUUUUGGAGGAUCUGAUAUUUGUACUGAAAUAGUAUGGCUGUUGGAUAAUUUUUUUUUUUGGGAUUUUUACGAUUGGAGUUGAUUAGAUUCUUCUAUGCUUAUUGAGGAAUUACGCUGAUUUUUUUUUUCUUUCUGGAUAGAUGGUGAAUAUGAGUGAUUGGUUUGGAAUGUGAAGAAAUGAAAAAUCCAUCUGUCUGAAUUAUUGGUGACCCAAACUUAAAGUUUGGGCUUUUCUUAUUUAAUUUGCCCGCUUUGCCGCUUCCUUGUAGGUCAACUGGCCAAUAUAGUUCCUAAUUAAUAAUGUCGCAGUUUGUGUAUCGAAAAUGAUAAAAAUUUUAUGAAUUUUUUACAAGAAAUAGACAUCUUUGAGGUUUGGCUACCCUGGAGACUAGAAAACAGCUUCACAGCAUUAUGAGCUACUACUUUCAUCUUCGUAGGACAAGUCUAAUUUACAUUUCAUUCUAUAACUUGUUGAUACUUGAUAUUUUAUUUGUUAUAUGGAUAAUGUUUCAGGAACUAUGUCUUUUGCACGGAGUUACCAUUCACAAGGUGGCACUCUCCAUGAUGAUCGUUGGCACUCUCACAAUAGAAACAACUACAAUAACAGGAACCGAAGUAUGAACACACAAAGGAACAAUAACAAUAACCAUAAUUGGAAUUAUAAUCAUUUCCAUGACAAAUUCAGAGACCAUAUUAACAACAACAACAACAACAACAACAAUAACAACAAUUACAACAACCCCUCUCAUGGUGCUCCAUCAUUGAAAAGGAGAAAAUUUAGUGCUGGUUCCUGGGGAGAUGGUGGGAGGCAUCUUGCACAGCCCAUUACAUAUGAAAGUGCAGCUGCUCCUUCAACCUACAAUAAUUCUGUGCCUCCUAUGCGGUCAAAUGCUGAGACAUCCACAUCUACAUGCUGCAAACGUGACCGCUCAAAAUUGGAAGAUGAUGAACCAGUGUUUAUGUCAAGAGAUGAGAUUGAGAGACACUCGCCAUCAAGAAAAGAUGGUAUUGAUGCACUGCGUGAAACACAUUUGCGGUAUUCUUAUUGUGCAUUCCUUCAGAACCUUGGAUUACAGCUUGAGUUGUGAGUGCUUCAUCUUGAGUGUCUUUGUUAAUUAUGUUGCUUUCUUUCUGAGUUAAAAGGAUUCCUUCACUAUUUUAACUACAGUUACUAAGGAAACAGCUGUUUAAUUGCCUUAGGUUAUUAAUUUUAUUUCCUAGAAUUUAUUUGAUUCACUAAUUAUAUGUUGAUUCUUCCAGGCCACAAACCACUAUAGGUACUGCCAUGGUUUUGUGUCAUCGGUUUUUUGUUCGAAGAUCGCAUGCUUGCUAUGACAGAUUUGUAAGUUUUCAAGUCCUUGUUUGUUCAAAUAUCAAUAGUUCAUUAGCUCUUCUUUCUUGCUUCUAAUUUAAUGUUUGGACUUUGCUAGUAUUGUGGUUCGCGUGUUUGUUCAAGAUGCAUGUGUAUCAUAUUUCAUGUUCCUGGUUACAGCAAUUGUGCUCAUCAUGAAUGGUCUGCAUUGUUGCAGUUAAUUGCUACUGCUGCUCUUUUUCUUGCUUCAAAGUCUGAGGAGACACCACGCCCUUUGAACAAUGUACUGAGAGCAUCUUGUGAGAUUUUCCACAAGCAAGACAUGACUUUUUUAUCAUGCCUGCUUCCUGUUGUAAGUUUCCAUCUUACAGGAGUUGUCAUUUCUUGCCUUUGUGCGAGUGCAUGUGUUUUUUCCUUGAUAAAAUUACUAGAGAAAGCACUAAAAAAAGCGUGCAUGCCAUUUUGAACUUUUUCAUGAAUGGAAACUCUGGGUUUUGGAAUGUGGCAAUUAAAGAAUUGCCUAUGACUUAAAAAAGGGGUUUCCUCUUGUUUUGCAAAAAAUUUCAGAUUGAGAACUAUUGUUGCUCAAAAAAAAAAAAAAAAAAAAAAAAAAAGGAAAUACAUAUGAGUUGUGCAAUUGCACUUGCAAUAGUUGUUCAAACCAUUUAAGACCCUUUCCCCCUUUUAUCACGUAUUAUCAUUGUUCAAUUUUUGAGCUGUCUUCAAAAGAUAAAGUAAAACUGCUAAGUUUCUAGUGGUGCUGACAUGAGAUGAAUUGCAUUAUACAGGAUUGGUUUGAACAGUACCGGGAGCGUGUGAUUGAGGCUGAACAAAUGAUACUGACAACUCUAAAUUUUGAACUUAACGUGCAGCAUCCAUAUGCCCCUCUUACUUCUGUCCUUGACAAAUUAGGGUUUUCCCAUACUAUUAUGGUGAAUCUGGCAUUAAACUUGGUCAGUGAAGGGUAAGCUUAUCAUUUCAUUGUUAUAUUACUUCAUUCGAUCUUAGAUUUUUUACUGGUGCUUUACAUUUGUAAUCAGUUAGUUUUAGUGACAAAACUGAACUAAUAUGCUAAGGUUCUGAUCGGAGCUUCUUUCUUCUGGAAGCAAUUUGGUUUGGUUCUGUGUGAACAUAUUUAUAUGUGGAUUUUCUGAAGAGUAAUUCAGUUUAGAUACUGUUUCGGGUUUAGGAAAUGUUGUUACAGCUAUUGUUAUGUCUCAAUGUAGAUUUCACUGGUGAGUGUUCAAUCUCAAGCUUUGAACACUUGUUGAGGUUCCGUGGUACUUGGUCCAUGGAGGAGGAUGUGCUGGGUUUCUUCUUGUACACUUUUGGUGUAAAACUGUGUAAUAGUCGUGUCAAUAAUUUUCUUCUUUCGAUCACCUACUCUAGCUGUAAUUCUGGAAUGGGAUAUUGAUUCUUUUGGAAUGCAUAUAAUUGCAGGGUAUACACAAGAUUAACGUGCUUGUUAGCCGGCGGAUUGAUAUGCUGUGCAUGGAAAGUUUUUUUUAAACCUCUGAAGUUGAACUGCUGAUAUGUGUGGGUCACAUAACUCUGGUUAUAUUCCCCAUCAACCUGGUUAUCUGCACAAAAGAUAGCCUCAGAACCUCCAAAACCAUUUUUGCAAAAAUUUUUCCCCUUUUUCCGUAAUUUUUUUUUUUUUUUGAAUGAUUCAUCUGGCCUCUGUAGACAAACUUCUAGUUUGUGAGACAUGGUUACAUGUCCCACAGGUAUCACUUCACACUGAUUGGGGGAAUUCCAUUGUCUUGGCUUAGAUCAAAGACUCUGUAGGAUCUCUUUUGCUCCCCUCAAUUAUUUUUUAGCAGACAUAUCCGUAAAGGAUCUGUGCCAGUUGUGUUUCUAACAUGUGUGUAUAAUUGUAAGUUUUAUUGUAAUACAAUUUCAGGUAUGUUUGCAGUUGCAGCUGUACUUUCAAAAUCUUUUAUAGAACAAUGCGAUUUUUUAGUCAACUUUGUUUAUCAACAGUAGUUUUAUACCAAAGGAAAUUUCAACCAUUUAUCAACAACUAUUUCAUUUGAGACAUGAUUGUCAACAGGUUGUGCAGCUGCAUAGUAUGUUUGGCAUGGAUCUGUUAUUUGGGAUGGUCCAGAUGAAAAGUUGGUCAGUAUAUGGCUAUAUGGGGAUUGGGGAUACACGUCCAUCUAUUUAUUUAAGGCCCUCAUAUGGAUGGGUUCUUUAGUUGUUCCUGCUUAUAUAUGGUACUUGUGUACCUAGAUGACUUCCUGUGGUAGUUUCUACUUCUCAAUUUUUUGUAGGGAACAAUCAUAUGGUACCAUGCCCAUUCCAUUUUGUGGACUUCCAGUACUGGAUUUGAGGGCAUAGGUGACCUAUCUUUGGUUUAAACUUUAAAAUUUUAGUUUCUACUUAAUCUUAAUUAAUAUCUAUGCACAUGUAAACAUAUCUAUAUAUAUAUAUAUUAGUUCCUUAUUUCUUAAUCUUAAUUAAUAUCUACAUCCAUAUAAACAUAUAUACUAUAUAUUAUAUACAUGAACAAAUGUUCUCCUUUUCUCUGUUAUUAAUUUGGUUUCCUUUCUUUGCUUUUUGCCAUCACUUAUUUCACCAAUUAUGAAAGUAUAUCUGUUAUAUUAUCAAAAGGGAACACCAAUUGCACCUUCUGCUUAAUUUUGUCCUCUUGAUUAAAGUACCUGCAUAAAACAGCAUUUUUUUUAAACAAAGAAUCUGCAUGAAGGAAAAACCUUCAUUGAGAUACUAGGGAAAAAUAUAUAUAUAUAUAUAUAUAUAUAUAUAUAUAUAUAUAUAUAUAUAAGUGAACUUCUAAAAGAGCAAAGCAUACAAUCUACAUUAAUGACCUAAUAAUCAUAUUGUUGGAGGUAAGCAUGUGAUAUUUUCAUUUUCUUAAACUGUGGUGUCUCUUAUAUUAUUUUUAAUUGAGCUAACCCUAGCAGUUAAGACCAUUAUUUUAUUUCUCCUUUGUUCUUUAAGAUUCAUUAAAGGGCAAAUGGAUUGGAAUUUCAUUGUGAGCUACACUACAGGGAUAGCUUUCUUCUUUUAAUAAAUCUUACCAAAUUGGUAAAAAACCGUUGAUGGGAGACUUCGACCAAAUAACUCUCACUUCUAAGGAAUGAUGAGACCAACUAGACCAUACAUAAUUGGCAUUUUCUUUCCUAUUUCCUUUUUUUUUUUUUUUUUUUUUUUGAAUCCUCAGAUUAAAGAUUUUUAGUUAAUUUUUUGAUUUCUCCUAAUUAUGCGCUCUUUUUCUAACCUCUUUUAUCUGUGUUACUUUGACAAAUUUUCCUGGUUAGUGCUUGAGGAUGGUGCAAGCCUACAAACAAGUAUUUGAAGCUUAUGUAGCAUUUGUAUUUUUUUUAUAUAGCAACUUGAUAUUAGCAAUGUUAUCUCCCCACAUCUCUCCUUCACUUAAAUUGUGUGUUUGGUUUCCCGGGUGGCACAUUUACCAGAAACCUGCUUAUUAUUGUAGGAUUUCAUGUACCUUGUAUGUGGACAAUGUGAAGUACUAAACUUUUUCUGUCUAUCCCUACCAUCCUUCGUGAUAGAAAAGGCCAUGAAAUAAUAAUAAAAAAUAUGGAGAAAACAAACAUAUUUGAUUAAUGGUCACAUAAUAACAAGAUUAGUAGGUGAUCUCUUUUUCUUUUUUUGCCAGUUGCAUUAUGUUGCUAUUAUAUCAUGGAUGUUUCUUUUGUGUUAGUUCAGUUUCUCAACCUAUUGCUUUCAUAAGUUUAUUGUGCCUUUGCUUUUUUUCAUCUUGCAAGUUGUCUAAGAAAUUGCUCUACAAUUUAUCCUACUUGAGAUACAAUCUUAUUGCAUGUGUAUUCAUUACCAGAAUCACUUUAUUCUUUUAGCUAUGAGUUAUAGCUUUGAAAUAACACUGUAUGACUUCAUUCUCAUAUUUCAGCCGAAGCUUAGAACUCGCUUGUUAUCAUUGGUGGUUGGGUGUGUGUGUGUUAUUCUAGCUUCAGGAUGUGUAUCAAAUAUACCUCAUCUUUUUAGUCUUGUGAAUAUACAUGUUACUUGUAGCUUUUUCUUGCACCUGCUAGAGGAUUUGGGAUGGUGGUAUCCUAUAAUUGGGGUUUGAUGGUUGCUUCAUGAGCAUUUAUGCAUGUGUUUUUGACGGGCCUUUCCACGAUCAAGUUGUUGGGCGGAAGAUGCAGAUGACUGGUCUAAGCAGUUAAUUGUUUGAAACGUCCACUUAGUUUCUGUUUGUUUCUUACUAGAAUUGUGUAUGUCUGUGGAGUUAAAAAGCCCCUGCAGCAGAAUUGGGCCUGGGAGUAGAUGUGUUUGUAGAUGAGUGUAACUUGUUUGUUAUAGUUUGCUACUCUAUCAGCUAUCCUGCACAGAUUCUUGCAAACUAUUCUUCCUGGGUUGCUGCAUUUUUGGUUGGUAAGAGAAAUGACUUGCUUUACUUUCUAACUUUGAAUCUAAUGCUUGGUUUUAUUGUUGUAUAUUUAUCUCUUUUACUCUUACCGCUGGUGUGACUUCUGUCAAUGUCGGAAUAUAUGUUAAGUUGAAGAUAUUGCCUGUUCAUAUUAAUUUCGCCAAUCUGGUUGGUUUCAGUAUUAUGCAUCUAUCAUUUGCUUAACAAUGGUGAUUUUGGCACAGAACUUAAAAGUAUUCUUUUUGUUUUGUAGGCUUCGGAGCUCACUGUGGCUUCAGUUUAAACCUCAUCAUAUAGCUGCUGGUGCUGCCUACCUUGCUGCCAGGUUUCUGAAUUUGGAUCUGGCUUCCUACCAAAAUAUGUGGCAGGAGUUUCAAACAACACCAGCCAUUAUCCAAGGUAUCUAUGCAUACUUUUCAUUAACAGAAUCAAUCAAUCGAUCAGUCAGGAUUGCUGAAACACCCUUCGUCUUUGAAAGACAAAAGUCAUGUAUUGGUUUAAAAAAAUUGGACAUCAUUUGGCUUUUGCAGUUAAUUUUUUGUUUCAGGUUUCUUUUAGGUUAUGGAAAUUAUAUAUUAGGUUUGACCAAUGAUUAUUUUUGCUAAUUCCUCAAUAUUAUGUGACUGCGUGAUGCAGAUGUGGCCCAGCAGUUGAUGGAGCUCUUCUAAUAAGACAAUACUACUUUGGAGGCUUUCGGGUUGAUGAUACAGUCCAUGUCUUGUUGGUAAAUAUUCAAAUCAGGAUAUACGUGUUUUCAUAUUGUAGCAAAGAUAAUUGACGGUAUUUUCUAAUGUGAAAAUGCUCGAGUGAGAGAGAGAAGAUAUUCUAGAAUCUAUCUGAGAAGUCUAAAUUGGCUAUUGAGAAAUAUAUUGAGUGGCUAGUAAAAGUGCUGUCCGCACGGAAUAUGGCUGUGUAUAUUUUAAUUUCAUGGUGCUGUCCGUGGUUUGAAUCUGUUUACUCGUAGAUGUGGGUCGAAAUAUAUGUAUAUAUAUAUCUCUUCCUUUGCAUGAUGCGAUGAGGAUAUAAGGAAGCUCAUAUGCCUUUGCAUGGUUGGAUACAGAUUUAGGGAAGCCCUAGAUCUUAAAAUUCUUUUCCGUCUGAAUUUAGAAAGAGGAAAGACAUGCAUGAACACAAUCAGUCCCAAGUUGCACUUGGCGAUGUCUGAUCGAUUCAGUCAUAAUCUUAGUGUGGCUAUGCGCGAAAAAUGCCAAUAUAAAUCUCUCUAAUCUUUGUAAUAAUUGGAUUUCGGAUAUGUACACACACACGAAAUGUCAUUUGUUUUCCAUUUUCUUAUUUCGAUUCCUCACCACUAGGGAAAAGGGUGUGGUGUUGUAAGGAAAACCCGAUUCGAAGAGAAGAAGUGCUUCAGGCUGGUAAAGCUUUAAUUUAAUAGAUAAGAAGCAUGCUUCUAUGGCUUGAAUACUACUGAUCUUCUAAAAAAGAGAAUAAUUGGUAAUGUCUAUAUGUCAAUGGUUAUUUCUUUUUUCUUUUAUCUUUUUUGGAGUGAAAUCUUAGAAUUUUACCCCAUUUAUUGAUGGAACAAAAUGUUUGGGACGAAAGGAAGGAAAGCUGCAAGAAACAUGUUGGCAUUUUCUGCAUAAGCUUUGCGGAUUCAUGUUUUUUUUUUUUUUUUUCUUGUAAAUGACAUCAGGGAUGAAGCGUUUCAAUUGAAGUGUCUUUGGAAAAUUGAAAUAUAGGUUGAGUUUUUCUGGGAAAAAAAUAUUUUAAAAUUUUAUUUUCAAAUAAUUAAGUGAAAUUUAUAACUAAUUGAAACUGUUAAGAACGUGCAGCGUUUUAAUAAAAUUGGAAUUAUUUGAAUAUGAAAAUAUAAAAUCAAGUACGAGAAUACAUAUGUCUUUUUCAGAAUAUAAUUAAUAAAUGAAAGAAAAUUCUUAUGGAAAGAAAAUAAUACUCACUAAUAAAAAGGAGCAUGAAAAGUUACUGUCCGUGGAUAACUUAUUUUAUUUUAUUAUUUUAAUAAAGGCUCAAACGAUUAGUCUUAAGUUUAUUUGAGGAUGCAAUUUUGUUUUUUUUUUUUUUUUCUUUUUUUAACAAAGUGAUUGUACUUCAUCUCGUGAAUUUAAAAUAUGCUUCAAAUGAUUUUUUUUAAUUUAAUAAUUUUUGAAAAAUUCCAAUGUAAAAACUAAAUGGCAAUAUUGGCCACGUAUUCUUUAGAGAAAACUUACAAUAAAGGUUUCUAUUUUCUUCAAUAAAUCGUUAGAAAUCUACUCGUCGUAAAAACAUGGCUUUUACUACAGUAAAGAAUUAAUAAAUUCUGUAUUAAUAUAGAACUACAUUUGAGCGACGCAUCGUUUAUUUCAAUUUACUAUAAUAUUGGUUAUCUAUUAAAUAGGUCUUUUAUUUUUUACUAUUUCUUUUACAUUUUUUUAAAUAAUUUCUUUGUAUCUUUAAAAGCACCCAUAUAUGUCUAAAUUCAUUAUUCAUUCACACAUAUAUAUAUAUAUAUAUAUAUUAUUGCGAUUUAUAUAAAUAUUAAAAAUCAGACUAUCAAAUACCUUAAAAUUAUAUAAUCUCCCAUGAAAAUAUGUAAAAUCAAUUUCACUUUAAGGAUAGAUGAUUAAAAAAUUUAUAUUUAAAUAUCAUAGAAUAUUAUGGUUUAUAUAUAUAUAUAUAUAUAAAAUAUUUAAAAGUUAAUUGAAAUUUUAGAAUUAUGCAACUUUUCUUAAAUCUAAAGUAAAUUUGGCAUUAUAAAAAACAAAAGAAAGCAAAAUAAUUGUUGUUAAAUUUUAAUAAAUUUAUUUUAAAGUAUGAAUUAAGAUCUUGAAGUUUGACUCGUUUUCACUGUUUAAAAAGGUUUAAAUGAAAUUUUAAAUGUAAAAAUUAAUAUUUAAAUAAUUUAAAUCUAAUACAUGAUAAAAUUGUAUAUGGGUAUUGAAACUUUUAAUUUGUUUUUAUAAUUUUAUUCUUCUUAUUUUAUUAAAAAUAAUUGAUAAAGUAAAUGUCUUUUUGAAUUCAAAAAUAAUAAUAAUAAAUUAAAAAAUGUAAGUUAAUUUUUAUUUCUAAAAAAAUGAAUACAACCCGUUUUAAAAGUAAAAUGUCAUUUUAAUUUUUUUAAAUCUAUAGAUUAUAUUUAAUUGUAUUAAUCUAACGAUGAAUAAACACUUACGAUUGAUACAGGACAUCUCAAUUCUCUACACUAAUUUCACCCUAAAAAAUUAUACUAUAUUUUUUAUCAAUUUAGUUGAUAAAUAAAUUUAUAACUCUGUUUUGGAUAAAUCAUUCUCAAAUUGUUUCAGUGAGAAUUGGUGUAUCCUAUACAAAAAAACAAUUGGAGUCCACAAUCCACUAUAAGAAUUACUGUAUUUGUGUUGUAUUAUCCUCUGUAUAUAGUUAAAUUCAUACCACUCUUCAUCAUUAUCGAUCAUGAUCAAACAUUAAAAGAGAGUGAUGUUUCAUCAAAUACUCCUAUUGUUACCACUUAAUAUGGAUAAUAGAAAUUGUAUUUUUCACAGCGAAAUGUUUAAAAGCUGUCCAGUGCUUUUCAUUUUUAAAGAUCUUUCCAUCAUGUCUAACUACAAACAACAGUAUUAAACUGAGGAUACUUCUGAAUUCCGAACGAUAUAACUUGUAAGGAUCGCGUCGAUGAAUGUCUUCUCAUCUUUCGUGGCGACAAGUGAUUUGCCUUAUGCAUGGAUGCCGCGCGUACACAAGUUUUAUCCAAAAAUGGAUAUUGAGUUGGUUUUUCGCAUCAUAACGAAUGGUCAACUUAUUUCAGAGUAUUCCAUCACCAUCCUUAAAAAGCGUGCCUUCAUUUUCCUUCUCUUUUUCUUCGUUAUCUCCUAUCAUUAGCAUUUGGGAUUCCCGGAAAACAAACAGAAAACAGAUUAUUCUCUUCGAGAACUGCCGUUGUUUUUUCUGCUGCUGCUUGCAAACAUCGGGAAAGUGAGAGAUUAUGGACUCAGCUAAACGUCGUAUUGAAGCCAUUCAAGGCCAUUUUAUCGCCGCUGGUGAUUCUCCUUCUCUCCUCCAUCUCAACCCCACAGCUGACGAGUUCUUCUCUGGUAAGUCUUUCUGUUCUAGAAACAACAAUGUAUUUUAACUUUUAUGUGUCUAUUUGUGUAUACCUUUGCUUUGACAUAAAAAAACAAUCAUGUUCUGCGUUAAAAGAAAUCGUUCUUUCGUCAUUGUGGUUGCUCUUUUCGUUUAUAAUCUGCGGUUUCUGUGUGGUCGUUGUGGGUUGUGGAAAGCAGUGAUUUUUUUUGUUGUAAAAAAGCAUUCUUUACGAGUCGCUAAUCACUUAUGAUUUUUUUUUUUAUUAUUAUUAUUGGAUGGAUUAUUAAAGAUCCUCUGAUCUAAUAACAAAUAGCUCUGUUAUGAUUUCUUGACUGCUUUAGCUUUAGGAUGCAGGCAGAAAAGCCAAUCGCGUAAUCAAGUGUAUUUUCAUUUGAUCAUGUUUAUAAUCUAAUAAUCAAUGUAUUUCAGCCUGAUUGGUUCUGCGUAUCUUCUGUUUGUGUACUUUUCUUGUUUCCUGUCAUGUUUUUCUUCUGAAUAUCCUGGAUUAGUAUAAUUAAUUCUGGCAUUGCACUCUGAGCAGAGCAGGGCUAUAGUGUUGUGCUUCCAGAGAAAUUACAUGCAGGAAAAUGGAACGUAUACAGGUAGGUAUUAACAAUAAUUCCUGAAAUUUCUGGGAACACUCGUUAGGUCCUUUAAACUGUUCUUUAUUUUAUUAAUUUGUUGUGGCAGGUCUGCCCAUUCUCCAUUGAAGCUGGUGAGCAGAUUUCCAGAGCAUCCUGAUAUUGGUACAUUGCAUGAUAAUUUUGUGUAAGAAUCCUUCCUUUGCUCGAUUUAUUUAUGUUUGAAGUUCCUCAAUGUCAACUACAAUUGUUUCUGUUGUAUGUAGAGCAUUCAGUUACCUCUGUUUAGUCUUCAUACAGUAAUGGUUUCCCCCACAUUGUGACUGUAGGCGAUCAGUUGAUGCUUUUAGGGAUUACAAAUAUCUGGGUACACGAAUUCGGGUUGAUGGAACAAUUGGAGAGUAAGUCUCCUGUUAGCUAAAUGAAGUUCAUAAUUUGGUAUUAAGUUAACUUAUCCAUUUAGAUUGUAGGUAUAAAUGGAUGACAUAUGGAGAAGCAGGUACUGCACGAACGGCAAUAGGUUCUGGCCUAAUGUAUCAUGGAAUUCCAAAGGCGAGUAUCCAAACAUCAAUUAUAUGCUAAAAUAAGCUCCAUCUAACCUUGUUUUAUUUUUUCCUUUUUAUAUAUAUAUAUAUAUAUAUAAUGAUCAAACGUAGCUGUUGUUGGUUUAAUUCUUUUCUUUAUAUAUAUAUAUUUGUAUUCUACAUACAAAUAUCUGACUGGUGUUCUUAGUUGAUCCUUCGUGACUCCUGAUUAUUAUUGAAUUGAAUAUUGCAGGGAUCUUCUAUUGGACUAUACUUUAUCAACAGACCAGAAUGGCUCAUUGUUGAUCAUGCCUGCUCAGCAUACUCUCUUAUAUCAGUUCCUCUAUAUGACACUCUUGGUCUGUCGAUAGAUAAACAAGAACAUUAGUUGAUCUUUGCUUGCUUCUUUGGACCUUAAAAUCAACAGUUGUCUACUCUGCAGGUCCAGACGCUGUCAAGUUUGUUGUAAAUCAUGCUGAAGUGCAAGCUAUAUUUUGUGUCCCGCAAACUUUGACAAUAGUGAGUUAAAUCUGUACCCUUCUUAGUGGCCUUGAAGAUAUAAUAUUAUUUCUUUUCGGGGUUCUAAACUUUGUUGCAUUGAUAUAGAAUUAAAUCUGUACCCCCCAAAGUGCUGGUUGAACCUUCAUCACAAUUAUUCUUUCCAUUUCUUCCUAAUUUACACUCCUUUUUUUAGUUCUUUCCUUCUCUCUCUCUCUCUCUCUGUUUCCUCUUUUUUUUCUUCCAUUUUUUUUUUUGUGUUGGGGGGGGGGGGGGUGGGUGGUGUUUUGUUUUUUUUAAUUUANNNNNNNNNNNNNNNNNNNNNNNNNNNNNNNNNGGUGUAGUUGAGUGGGAGGGGGGGGGGGGGUUGUUCAUUGUGCAUAGUCCAAACAAAUAUAAUAAGACAUUCUUAACCUUUCAUCAAUGUGGAAUUGCCGCAGUCAUUUACAGAUUUAACAUUGCAGCUUCUUAGUAUCAUCCCUUUAAUGUAUACAUGUUAAAUUAUUGCUCGCCUUCACUACUCAUUGUUUUCCUAUUUCAUCUUUUGCAUUUUUAUAUAUUUAUGAAAGUAAAUCCUUCUGAGUUCUGAUUAUUGCUACAUGGUUGGAAUUUUGCAGUUGCUGAGCUUCUUGUCUGAAAUUUCAACUGUCCGUCUAAUUGUGGUAUGUUAAACUCAUAGAAUGGAAAUAAAUCUGAUGGGUUGUUUUCCAUAUAUAGAGCCAAGUUUGAUUUUGACUGUUCUCAUUUGUUUUUCCUGUUAAACAGGUUGUUGGAGGGAUGGAUGAUCAAAUGCCAUCUCUUCCUCCAUCAAGUAAAAUUGAGGUUCUAACAUACUCAAAACUACUUAGUCAGGUAACUAUACAUCCCUUAUCGUCACAUGACAUCCUUAAUUGUUUCCAGUGACAUGCAUGAAAUGAUACUUAUCAUUAAAUUAUAUAACCACUACUUGAAAAAUACAAGAUAUUAGAGCAUGUGAUUUCUCCUCUCUCUCUAUAUUUGCAAGAUCCCAUUCAUUGGUGUUUAAUCUUCUUUUUAGACAGCUAGUUGGCAGCUGUCUACAAUGAACAUUAACUUGUUGGGGCCCAUAAAAAAGUGCAGGAAGCUGGGCUAGGGCAAUAACUUGAUCACAUUGGGACUUGAAGCUAUUCAUGUAAAUUAUUGAUGUCUGUUAGACCACAUUCCUUGAAGCUCAAAGUAUUUAAGUAGUUUACACAUGCAUGAAUGCUUGUGGAUUUGUUCAUAUUCCUUUAUCUUGAUUUGGGUGAACUCCAAUUACCUUCGUUGUAGAUCAAGUGCCAUUUUUUGGUGUUAUUUUUCUAAAAUAAAUCAAGUUGCUUCUAAGCCUGUGAUAUUAGAGAAGCUUAGGUUUUUCAAAUUUUUUUUUUCACUUUUUAUCAUUAACAUAAUUAUUUGUCACGCGAAUGGCUUGCUUUUAGGGCCACAGUAAUCCUCACCCUUUUUCCCCACCAAAACCUGAAGAUGUUGCUACAAUUUGCUAUACAAGUGGUACUACUGGGACACCAAAGGUAUGAUUCUUCCAUAAAUUUCAACCUUUCGAUUUUGAAGCUAGAGAAGUUUUUGGAAUUGAUUUUACUGCUUAUUGCAACUAAUAUACAAUUUUAUUAUUGUUGAACUAUGCAAGGGAGUUGUAUUGACCCAUGGAAACUUGAUAGCAAAUGUUGCUGGGGCCACUAUUACUAAUAAAUAUCAUCCAUCGGAUGUGUGAGUACUAUAGCUUUGGCUAUCACAUACAUGAUAACCGCUUGGCUGAAUUACUUGUGAUUUUGCAGUUGUAUAUCAUACUUGCCUUUGGCACAUAUUUUUGAACGAGCACAUCAGAUCUUGUCAAUAUAUUACGGAGUUGCUGUUGGAUUUUACCAAGGAGUAUGUUAUUGAAUUAAAUUUUUCUCUGUUUGUUUCUUGGAUUUGUAUUGUGGUUGCUUUUUUUUUUUUUUUUUUUUUUUUUUUUAUAUAUAUGAUCAAUAUCAUGCUGCUACAUAUGCUGAUUUGCAUUCAAAUGAUGCUUGGUCAUCCCACAAUGUAUGUGCAUUUGAGUCAUAGGAAAAUCCACUUCGUCUGCUGUUGACUAUCUUCAGCAGUUAUGCACUCACUGUAGAAGUUCUUGUAUAUCCAAUGUUUUCAUACUGGAAACGUAAUCAUUCUGAUCCAAAUGAAUUCAACCAUGCAUUGUCAAUAACUGCAAAGUAGAAAACAUAGUUUUUUCAUGCAUCAAAUUUGGUUUCUAUUCCUGAGCAAUAAAUAAGGCUUCUAACCUAUGCAUGCAGGAUAAUAUGAAACUGAUGGAUGAUAUGGCUACUUUAAGACCCACUAUCUUCUGCAGUGUUCCUCGGCUGUAUAAUAGACUAUAUACUAGGUGAAUUUACUAUCCGCUGCUGCUGAAUUUUUCUAAUUUGUCGCAACUGUUGUGGUUUUGUGUUAAUUGAUUAUAUACAUUUGUUACAGUAUCACUAGUGCUGUAAAGACUUCUGGUCCAUUAAAGGAGAGGUUAUUCAAUGCUGCCUACAAUGCUAAGAAGCAAGCAAUUUUGAAUGGUAGAGAAUAGUUUAUGGGGCUUCUGUUACUUUCUACUGUGAGCUUUUCAUUUCUAGUCAAUAAUAUUUGUAUCAACAUGGUGAAAAUUUCAUUCAUCGCUAUACUAUUCUGUGAUUUCUGGCGGACGCUUUCAAAAUUCUGAUAGGUAUAAGAUUAUGUUGACCUGUAAUGAGGACAGACAUUCCAGAAUUUAUAAAUUUACAGAAAAAUCUUGUGAGGCAAAAGACAAAUUUCUCUGUCAUUUGUAUUUGAAGGUGAAUUCUGAAGGCUGAGAAUGAAGUAGUUGAUCAAUUACUGCUCUAGAAGAUUAAAUUUUUUCAUUUACACUGGAAACAAUUAAGCCAGGCAAACAUUUAAUAGGCAUGUGCAUAUGCGUCUCACUAUUGGCUGCACUAACACUUGAACUUUUUGCUGUUGGUGAGGGUUCAUAUAAACAGAUUUUAUAUCUCUAAUACCCAUGUGAAACCAAUGGGGCUUCAAUAUGUGAAUGCUUGCCCAUCAUUACCUUGUGUUGGAAAGUAAUUAACCAAAAUGGGGAUGUAAAAGAUUUGAACCUGGCUCGCUUGGUCAAGGAAAAUUCAACCUCACAAAAGAAAAAGCAAGUUCAAUCCAUAUUUACUGAUUCAGUUUUAUUUUAUGAUUUAAACUUCAAGAUAGUUGUUGGCUAAGCUAGAGCAACUUAUAACAUAAGGAUGACAUCUCUGAAAUGGUUGAUAACUCAAAAAGUUUCGCGUCAUGCUGUAUCAUAAGUAACUUCAGGUUCAGCAUCAGAAAGUGGAUUUCAAAUGUUAUAAUUUUGGAGCUUGAUAAUGAUUAUUAUCAAAUGUGAAUCUCUUGCUUGCUUCUUAGAUGCUUAAUGGUUGUACCACAUGUACAAUUUUUACAGGCAAGAGUCCAUCUCCAAUGUGGGACAGGUUGGUGUUCAAUAAGAUAAGGGAAAGACUUGGUGGGCGAAUUCGUUUCAUGCUAUCAGGUGCUUCACCCUUGUCUCCUGAUGUCUUGGAGUUCCUGAAAAUGUAAGUUGAUAGAUUUUAGCAUAUUGAAUAUUACUUGGAUGCAGUUUUAUUUUGCUUUCUGAUUUUGUGAUACUUUCUGUAUUGCUUUGCAGCUGCUUUGGUGGUCGAGUAACCGAAGGAUAUGGCAUGACUGAAACUUCUUGUGCUGUGAGUUCCAUGGAUGAGGGUGACAACCUAACCGGCCAUGUUGGCUCUCCUAAUCCGGCCUGCGGUGAGUUAUGUGGUGUUACAUACCUGUGAAGUUGUGUUUCUUGUGAAUUAAUGAUGCUGCUUUGGGAUAAGGUUAUUAUAUAAUUUAUACUUCUGUUUCAGAAAUAAAGCUCGUGGAUGUUCCAGAAAUGAACUAUACAUCUGAUGAUCAGCCUUAUGCUCGUGGUGAAAUCUGUAUAAGGGGUCCUGUUAUUUUCCAAGGCUAUCAUAAAGAUGAAGCACAAACGUACUUACCUUACCUGUCGCCUGUUCGUUUUGCUGUUGAGUUGGCCAUGCGCUGAGCAAAACUGUUUACAUAAUUAUGUUGUGCAGGAGAGAAGCAAUUGAUGAAGAUGGGUGGCUUCAUACUGGAGAUAUAGGAUUAUGGUUACCUGGAGGUCGUCUAAAGAUUAUCGAUAGGUGAAAUUUUGUCUCUAAGUAAUUGUCUUUCUUUGAAUUAAUAAUUAAUAUUGAACCAAAGGCACGCUCCCCAGAUUCCCAUAUACAUUAGCAUUGUACAUAAGAUUGCUAUUGACCUUUAACUAUUUAGAACUAGCUAGUUUAUAGAUCAUGUUGUCUUAGUUAUUUGCUAUAGUUUAAGCAUCUAACUUUUGCUUCUGGAAAAGACAAAGACUACUUGUUAUCUUAGUUUAAGAUCCAAAUAUUUUAAAAUUGAGGUAACUGUGGAAUUUUAGGCAACAUCCCAAUGGAGGGCAAAUGUCAAAGAAGCUAUAUUUAUUUAUUCAAUAAUUUUUUGGUUUGGAGUUUGGUGCUUAUGCUUUGGAGCAUAUGUGGCUUUAAAAUUUGAAUGGAAAUACUUGUAUGUUGGUUCAGGAAGAAGAACAUUUUUAAACUGGCACAGGGAGAGUACAUAGCUCCAGAGAAAAUUGAGAAUGUAUAUGCCAAAUGCAAAUUCAUUGCUCAGUGUUUUGUGUAUGGUAGGCAAAUGAAUUUUUAAUUAUGGUUCUUUUUCUUUCUCUCUGUCUUCACUUUGCCUGCUAAAUUUUUAUGUUUAUAUUUGCAGGGGACAGCCUGAACUCCUCUUUGGUAGCCAUUGUUUCAGUGGACCACGGUGCAUUGCAAGCAUGGGCAGACUCUGAAGGCAUUAAGGUAGGAACAUUAUACUUGCAAGUCAGAAUUUGUAUAUAAAAUGUUCUCUGGCAAUUUGUAUAUACUUGUAAGGCAUUAAGGCAUGUACACUAGGAACUUGCUAAUGGUUCUCUGGCAAUUUGUGUGUAGUAUGAAAAUUUGGAGCAACUAUGCAAUGAUCCAAGAGCAAGGGCCGCUGUCCUUGCAGUCAUGGAUGCUGUUGGAAGGGAAGCUCAGGUAAUGUCUUGAAGGCAAAAGAUUGUAUUCAUAGCUUUGAAUUUUCUGCUUGAGCUCUCCAUGGAUCGGACAAAUUUUCUUGCAGCUCCGAGGUUUUGAAUUUGCAAAAGCUGUGACUCUAGUGCCGGAACCAUUUACGAUAGAAAAUGAUCUUUUGACUCCGACAUUUAAGGCAAGUGUACAUCUAAGAACAUUUUAAACAUGUCAAAACUGUAGAGCGGAAAAAACAAAAAAAGCCUUGGCAGCAACUCACAGUCUUCUCUUACUUGCAGAUUAGGAGACCGCAAGCAAAAGCGUAUUUUGAGAAAGCAAUAUCACAGAUGUAUUCAGAGCUUGCGACGUCUGAUCCCUCUCCUAGAGGGAGGUUGUGAAGUUGGCAAACGAAAGCAUUGAAAAGUCGAAUCAUGCCAAUCAAUUUCAUGGCAUCGUUCGCAUGACAAUAAGUUCAAGUUCUUCAGCUUGGAUCGACAUAUAGAAGAGCUUAUAGGCUGCUGGAGAAUUCUGCAACUACUUUUUUUCCGUUUUGUUUUUGCCCCUCUCUGAAUAGAAGGGCCUAUAGCCUCUUGCACGUAUAAUUUGUUUCCAGAAAAUAAAUAGGAAAGAAGACAUCAUUAUAGGAGGAUGAUUUUGGAUGUGACAAGGCAUUGCCAUAACCAUUGACAGCCAUCUUCUGCUGCUGUUGAAACCAAUCUGUAAGUUACAUAUGGACAUCAUAUUUUACAUAUCUCAAUUUGAUUGGCAUUUUGAUAGUUUUAGGUGGACUAUUUUCCUUCCCUGUUGGAUCUUUACAAUCUACAAUAAAAGUACAAAAAAUAUUAUCUCCAUUUCUCUUUAUGGAGUCCUUUCUAAUUACUCUGUUGGGACGAUUCAUAAUGAAAUGGGCGUUUGCCUGCCUAUCUGCCAGUCUUGUGAAUGACCAAUCAUGGGUUAGAAGUAGUUAUUACUAAUUGCAAGCUUAUAAGGUUGGACUCUGUUUUAUUAUUUAACCGGUAAGACUGACAGAAUUUGUUAGAUAUAGGAACACGGUAGUAGUCGUUGCAUCGACUUUCAACCUUUCAUGAAUUUCGUAUUCAUAGUUUAAUGAGCGAUUCAAAAUUAGAGACUUAAUUUUCAAGUCAAUAUAAUUUUAAUAGUCGAAGAGCUAAAUAGUAUCAAACUAAAAAUUCAGUAUGAUUAAAUUUUUCUUACAAUUCAAUUCGACUUGGCGAAAAUAAUGUUUUUUCUCACAUAAUAUAUUUCAAACAUAGAUGACAUGGAAUUUCACAAAUAGCUAAAUGAGAAAAUACAAAAUGGAAUAAAAUUGUUACAUCUUUGAUUUUGACAGAUAGAUUAAGAAUAAGAAAGAAGCUUGGCUUUGAAGAGGAAGUAGUGUAUAAGCAAAACGACAAGACAACACUGCCACGAUACUGAUUCCCAUUUCCCAACUAAAAGUUUUUGUUUGGUGGGGGAAAAUGCAUGAAAAUGGUGGAGUCUCUGCUCAUUUCUCACUUCUCGUGGUACACAUUUCUUAUUUUCUCUGUGCUAAUACAGGCACACUUCCAUUUACGAGGUCAAAUGAUGUGAAUUAAUCUUUUUAAAAAUCAGAGUAAACUUACUAUUUAGUAUUCAAUAUUUCAGAGUUGGAAUAUUGCUGUCUAAGAAUGCCACGUGUCCAAAAAAGGGGCGAGUAUGUAUGUGCGUGUUUUAAUUAAUUAAUUCAUAUUCGUAUGACAUUUUAACGGUAGGUCCAAUUGAAAUACAUUACCUGUGUGUCGUCGAAGCAUUUAAAUCAUAUCCCAUUAUGCUUUAAUCAAACGUCCACGUCACACGCUCCAGUAACCGACAAGAUCUCACAUACGCUUCGCUGUAGAAGAACACAACCCCACGGCGCACCACUACCACUCGUAAUGGUAUUGCCGGUAAUAAUAAAAGUGAAGAGUUAAAUAUUACUAACAGAGAACGGUAAGACACAAAAGAGAGUGAGAGAAAACGUGAAGUCUACUCAGGAUUCUACGCUACUGUGACCCUUUUGUUGUCUCUCUCUCGCGCGCUUUCUCCUCUCCAACUGAUUCUUCAGUUUCAUUUCCAUCUCUUGUUUAACAGGAUUAUUUACAUUCAGAGACUUUGAAUUCUCGCGGUGCAAUCAGUUGCUUGCUGAUCUGUGUUUGGUGAUUUCCGGAUGCUGUGCAGCAUCAUUAUAUAUAUCAUAUCCGAUUUGGUGCCAAUUAGGGUUUAGGAUAGGGUUUGAUUUCGAGAGAGAGAUUGGUUGAUAAUGUUAUCGAAUCAUCUACAGGAUGGAAUCGAGACCGCUAAGCUGUUAUGGUCUCGAAUUCCAAAUUCAGAGGAUGGUGAGUUCGAGAGAGUUGGUCUCUUGAGCACAAGCGAUGGGAGACCUGUGGAGAGCCUUGAUUACGAAGUUAUUGAGAAUUAUGCGUAUCGAGAAGAACAGGUUUGUGUUUCUGCUAUUCUGCUUUUCGCGCACACGUAUGCAUUAAUCGGGACUUCGAUUCUUUUUUAGAAAAAAAAAAAAAAAUUCUCUCCUCACUUUAAUCGCUAUUCGUCCUGGUUUCUUUUUUGGGACGUGCAGGCGCAGAGAGGGAAACUUUAUGUUGGAUAUUGUGUAGCUGUGAAGUGGUUAUUUGCUUUGCUCAUUGGUAUCGGUAAGCGUUCUUAAGAUUUUGGUAUUGGAUUCAAGUUUAUAGAUCGAUCUGGAAACUUUCCCGAAUUCAUUGUUAUUACUUAUUUUGCGGUUUGGUACUUUUGUUAUCUGUUCAUCUUUUACUUAGAUAUUCAUUAAGUCUAGUUAGCUUUAUUAUGAGCUGUGCGCCUGAUGUAUUAUAUUCAUAUUUUCAAGAAGCGAAUAGAUAUAACUGAAGAAUAGCUUUGCGAAAUUUUUUUGUUACACAGUGAAUGGGGCGAUCUUUAGGAUUGCUUUUCUUAUAUAUGGUCAGGCAUAAACUUCACCAUUCGUGCUUGUAAAUUAGAAUAAAUAAUGAUAUAUUCGAGUAUGUUUUUCAUAUGCCCCUGAUGUGGUAUUGAUUAUCUGCUGAAGAUUCAACCAAUGGAGUAUGAUUUCUAUCGAGAUUUUCCCUACAAAUUUUUUUGGGGAUAAAGUUGGACGAAGUAGAAUUAUGAUGUUGUAGUUUUUAACAAUGAAUGUGAAGUUAUAGUGGAUAAAAUUCGUCUCUGUAAAUUGAUUCUUCUGGAUUUAAAUUGCUAAAUGUAAAUCAAAAUGAAGCCCAGAUGCAUAAUUUCAAUUGCUUUCACUGGAGAGCAUUUAAAAGUUUAGAGUUAAAAUAUUUUUUUGGUGACAUUUCUUCUCCUUCUUCUUUUCUGAUAUCUUUUUUUUUUUUUUUUUUUUUUUUUUUUUGGCUUAUAGGUACUGGAUUAGCUGCAGUUUUCAUUAAUCUAUCUGUUGAGAACUUCGCUGGCUGGAAAUUUUCACUGACUUUUUCUAUAAUACAAAAAUCAUAUUUUGCCGGCUUCAUAGUAUAUGUAUUAAUUAACUUGGCUUUAGUCUAUUCAUCUGUAUAUAUUGUCACACAAUUUGCGCCCGCAGCAGCAGGAUCUGGUAUUCCUGAAAUUAAAGGUUAUUUGAAUGGUAAGCUGAAAAGCUCAAUUGGCUUGUCUUAGUGUCACUAAUCAAUGAGUUAUUCCUACUAUAAUCCAUGGAGAUGCUAAUCAACAUUAAUUGUAUAGGAAUCGAUAUUCAUGGAAUUCUACUUUUCAGAACCUUGAUUGGAAAGGUUUAAUGGACUUCUUAUCAUAAACUUUCUUGUUUAGGAUUUUCUGAUUAUUCAUAUUUCAAUCUUAAUUGUUCUCACUUGAUGUUUAUAGAUAUUUGGAAGUAUUGGUUCUGUGGGAGGGGGUCUUGCUUUAGGCAAAGAAGGUCCCCUUGUUCAUACUGGUGCUUGUAUUGCUUCUUUACUUGGACAAGUAAGAAUCACUUCUUGGAGUUUACUUUGUUUCAGAACUAAAACAUAUGUUUGCAGAACUUUUUAAUGUUUGCCACAAUAACCUAAGUUUCAAUUGUCAAUUUAGGGUGGAUCCACCAAAUUUCAUCUAAGUUCCAGGUGGUUACAAGUUUUCAAAACUGAUCGUGAUCGCCGUGAUCUUGUGAGUAACUUACCCCUUGAUGUAAUUAAGCUUUUACGUUUUGAUGGGAGAUUGCACUUUUGGAUUUAUUUGCUUGUUACAUCUCCUUGGAAACCCUUUUACUCGCCAAGUGGUUGUAGCCAAAUAGAUGUUGGAUAUUAUGUCAUGCAGAAACAUUGUAGCUUGGGUACCAUUUUAUUAUGGUCUCUCAUUUUUCUAAGAAUAGAGGUGAUUCACAUCUUUAUUGUGCUCAUUUUUUGAUUCAUCUAAUGUUUUGAAAAGGUGACUUGUGGAUGUGCAGCUGGAGUUGCAGCUGCUUUUAGAGCUCCUGUUGGUGGUGUAUUGUUUGCAUUAGAAGAGGUUACAUCUUGGUAAGACAGUUUUAUCCUUGGUUAUAUGGUUAACCUUUUGUAACAAAGAGCAAAGAAAUAAAAUUUAGGUUAUGUUGGAUGCAAUUGAUUUUUAAUUGUGCAAGCAUGGUUUAUUUGCCAUUGUUAUUCAUCAGAUAUAUAUGCUAUUGCCAAUGUGUUAUAUGCAUUCCCAUGUUUUCCUUUAAAUUUUUUGACAGUUUGGUCAGUCUACUCAUAGUUUUAUGUCAAAAAUUUGAAUGCCUCUUACAUUUGUUUCUGUUUUGUGCUUUAAGGUGGAAGAGUCAACUUAUGUGGCGUGUCUUUUUUACUUCCGCUAUUGUGGCAGUGGUAGUGCGUACUGCAAUGGGAUGGUGUAAGAGUGGAAAGUGUGGGCAUUUUGGCUCGGGUGGUUUUGUUAUAUGGGACAUAUCAGAGUUGAUACUCAGACUCUUCUCUUUCCCUAUUGUUAUACCCUACUGUGAGCUUUUACAGUUUGUCUAAGUUCUAUUUGUUGUUAUUUCUUUUCUGGACAGUGGUCAAGAAGACUACUCUUUUGGGGAAUUACUUCCAAUGGCUGUUAUUGGUGUUAUUGGUGGUCUACUUGGUGAGUAACCAUAUCCUUACCCUGACAUUGUCUUCUUUUCCAUUUUCAUUUAAUUGCAAAAAAUUUUUUAUUUGUUUAAUUUCGUCGCUCUUGAAUUUUCAGGAGCAUUAUUUAACCAGCUCACACUUUAUAUUACUAAAUGGCGCCGAAAUUACUUGCACAAGAAAGGCUCCCGAGUGAAGGUAAAAUUUAGGAUAAUCAUGGAAUCCUGUUCUUUCCUUUUUGGUUGUGCACUAUUAUCUCAAAUUUCAAUUUGUAUACUCCAAUUAUAAUUAUAACAUUGUCACAGAUUGUUGAAGCAUGCCUAGUCUCUGUGAUAACAUCUGCUAUUUCUUUUGGAUUACCACUUCUAAGAAAAUGCAGUCCAUGCCCUGAAUCAGAUCCUGACUCUGGUAUUGAGUGCCCACGGCCUCCGGGAAUGUAUGGAAAUUAUGUAAAUGUAAGAGCUAGCCUUGACAUUCACUCUUUUUGGUGAUUUUAUUUUGUAUGUCCUCAUCUCAAAAAUUUUCAUGAUCACAACUUGAACGUAAUAGGUUUAGUACAACACAGUGUACUUUCUGCAGAUGACCAAGAUAUUCUGAUUUUGAUUUUCUGACUUGCAGUUUUACUGUGGCAAGAGCAACGAGUACAAUGAUCUUGCAACAAUUUUCUUUAAUACUCAGGUAUCAUCAGAAUUGUGAAAGCCCUUCUUCAUUGCUUUACAUUUGGGUUUCACAUGUCGGUCCAUUUUUUCAUUUUAAUGCAGUUAUAAUGUUCUUACAGGAUGAUGCUAUAAGGAAUCUGUUUAGUGCGAAGACAAUCCAUGAGUUCAGUGCCCAAAGUUUAUUAACAUUUCUGGUAGUAUAUUUUUUUUUCCUUAUUUUCACAUGAGAAGAUUAGUCAUAUCGCAUCUGUGAUUUUUUUUAAAUUGAUUCAAUUGUUCUCAGGUCUUUUGCCAGGCACUGAGCCUUGUUGCUCUUUUGCUUUAUGCUUUAAUUUUAAAAUUUGAAAUUAAUAGACUUUUCUUCUCCAGUCACUCCAUAAGUGCUGCAGCUGGCUACCAGGCUGCUUUCUGGAAAAGAAAAUUAAUGCUAUUUUUUUUUUUUUUUUUUUUUUUUUGUAUUCUGAAAAUGAAGUAUGAUGAUAUUUUUCAAAGUCCAAAAUUUUAAUUACUACAGGUCCACAAUAAAGUCUCAGGAAGCUUUAGGUCUAGGUUGUUCGGAAUCAGAAUGGGGGAUCUGUCUUGUGUAUACAUUUGAUGGUUGUUCUUAUUUUUAUAUUUUGAAUUUCUCAAGAAAGAGCUCUAAUUUACCUCCUGAUGUCUUUUGUACAGAACUCAGCACUUUCUUUCUUAUUUUCAUCUUUGUAGUUUGUUCUGAUACUCAUUUUGGUUAUCUAAAUCCAAUCCAGUUUCUUUUAUACUAUCUACUUCCCUGCUUAUUCAGCUUAUGCUCUCUGACCUUAUUAUGUUGUUGAUUUUUUUUUUCCAAUUAUUUUAUGGUUAAACUAACCAGAAGAGGGUUUAUGAUCAUAUUUUAAUAUCUUCAUCCAAUUGAGUGAAUUUUGUGCAUCUGUUUAUAAUGUUUACAGGUGAUGUUUUAUACCCUAGCUGUGGUGACAUUUGGCACAGCAGUUCCUGCUGGUCAGUUUGUCCCUGGAAUAAUGAUAGGAUCAACAUAUGGACGCAUUGUCGGCAUGUUUGUUGUUAAAUUUUACAACAAGCCCAACAUUGAGGAGGGAACGUGAGUCUCUUGCUUUGGUUCUGUGAAAUUUUCAACAGUAAGACGUAUUUCGUUGAUGACACAUUUUCUAUGCACUCACAAAAGCUUUGCUUUUAUGCUGGAUAAAAAACAAUAACCAACUCAUGGUUUUUUUCUUUUUUUCAUGCAUAUCAUAAAAUUGUCCCUCAUUUAUUUAUUUAUUUAUUAUACUGCAUUCCUUGCUCAAUAUGGUUGACUUUUACCUUCUAUCCAUGAAAAACUAUUGCCUCAAUACUAUUUUCUUCUUUCUGAACUAUGCUGUAUGCGUCCUGGUCAACUUGUAGAUAUGCUUUGUUGGGCGCUGCUUCCUUCCUUGGAGGUUCUAUGCGUAUGACAGUCUCAUUAUGUGUCAUAAUGGUUGAGAUCACAAACAACUUGAAGCUUUUACCUCUCAUCAUGCUUGUCCUCCUUAUAUCAAAGGUAAGCUUUUGAAUUGCUUAACAUAUUUAUUGAUGAAUGUUCUAUAAAAUCAAUCUCAUCUUUCCUCUGCAGGCCGUUGGUGAUGCUUUUAAUGAAGGUCUAUAUGAAGUUCAAGCUGAAUUGAGAGGCAUUCCAUUACUAGAUUCUAGGCCUAAAUAUCAAAUGAGAAAAAUGACUGCAAAGGAAGCUUGUGGAAGUCAGAAGGUUAUUUUCAUUUCAACUGCUUCUCAUUUGUGUCUCCCUUUCGCUGGGCGGUUGUUUCAGAUACCAUCUUGAUUGUGUAAAAUGAACUACCAUGAAGUAUAUAAAUUGUGACUGCUAUUGGCAUGAGCAAUUGACAUUUGAACUCUUCAAGCCAAUCCUUUUUGUCUUGGCUUUCUUAUUUCUUUUCCUCUUCUAUUGUGCUGCACACCAUCUUCAACUCAUUGUGUUUGCUCUUCCAUCAUUUGAAGGUUGUCUCCUUUCCUCGGGUUGCUAAGGUUGCAGAUGUAGUUUCUAUCUUACGAAGCAAUAAACACAAUGGUUUUCCUGUAAGCUUUGCACGGAUCUUUGUCGUCUUCUGUUUAUGCAUGGGAUUUCUAAACUAUAUUCUAAUACUGUACUUGCACGUAGGUGAUUGAUCACACAAGGAAUGGAGAAACCCUUGUAAUUGGACUUGUUCUUCGCAGGUAGAACUCUUAAUUCUCUUUUGGUUUGUGUUGUUUUAUUCAUUAGAAGCAGAGGCCAUGCAUCUAAUUUAAUUUUUGGUUUCCUUGGCAGCCACUUGCUAGUGCUUCUUCAGUCUAAGGUAGAUUUUCAGCAUAGUCCUUUGCCUUGUGAUCCUAGAGGUGCUUCCAGUACAAUCAGGUAAAGGGAAGCUUAAUACUAGUUAUCCUUGCUGUUACUUGAUUGACCUUCACACUUGCUGAAACAAGUGGAUUCUAUCUCAGGCACAAUUUCGGUGAAUUUGUGAAACCUGCCUCCAGUAAAGGAAUUUCCAUAGAUGAUAUUCAUCUCAGUUCAGAUGACUUAGAAAUGUACAUUGAUCUUGCCCCAUUUUUGAAUCCUUCUCCAUAUGUUGUCCCUGAGGACAUGUCUUUAACAAAGGUGAACCACUUUUUUCCUAUUUGUAUUUCAUAAUGUUGCAUAUGGGGUCUGGGAGUCCCCCAGUUUGUAUGAUAUAUUAUGCAUUUUGCCAAUGGCAUAGGUAUAUAAUCUUUUCCGCCAGCUAGGAUUAAGACAUAUAUUCGUUGUUCCUCGUGCUUCACGUGUGAUUGGCUUGAUUACCAGAAAGGAUUUGCUUAUUGAGGUAGGUCGGCAUUAAUUUCUUCCACAUUUUAAAUUUAACUGGUCCAGUGUAACGAUUGUUCUGUGGCGAUUUGUAUUAUAGGACAAUGAGGAUUCAGCUAGUAUGGAGCUCCAAUCAACUAGUGUAAGGUCUCUAUGCUGCUCUACUCGUGUUUUCUGUUUGUUCUAAUGCAUAUGCAUCAGGGAAUUUUUAAUUUUAUUCAGGACAAGCUAAAUAAUCCUUUACUUCUGCGUCAUAACCAUUCAGAAUGAAUGUAAAUUAUGAUAAUGUUUCUUUAAAUGCACUUGUCUUUUUAGAUCAUUGGUGCUGUCAAGCAACAUGGUGUCUACUAGAUCCCUAAUUCAUAGAUGUAUAGCAGUAGCGGCAUUAGGAGUUUGCCUGUCAAGGCAACAUGAAAAGUUUUCUUCUCUCUUCACUGUCUGUGAAAUGGACAUGCAUAUUAAAUAUCCACACUUUAGGGUGUUGAUGUUUUUACCAUUUCGGUAUUUUCCCUAUUUCCUUAUUCAUGCCUGGUGUUGCUUGAUUAAAUUUAUUAUAGACAGCCAUUGGGAUUGUAUCCCAGUGGUCAAGUGUUUGCCCGGUGUUGCAACAGGAGAAGUUAUAUUACUUUGAGAAUUUCCGAUGUUUAAGGAAAAAAAAAAAAACACUGUUACCAGUAUUUUGACACGCCAAAACCUUAUUUUCUUGUGCAUUCAUUAAAAAAAAAAAAAAANNNNNNNNNNNNNNNNNNNNNNNNNNNNNNNNNNNNNNNNNNNNNNNNNNNNNNNNNNNNNNNNNNNNNNNNNNNNNNNNNNNNNNNNNNNNNNNNNNNNNNNNNNNNNNNNNNNNNNNNNNNNNNNNNNNNNNNNNNNNNNNNNNNNNNNNNNNNNNNNNNNNNNNNNNNNNNNNNNNNNNNNNNNNNNNNNNNNNNNNNNNNNNNNNNNNNNNNNNNNNNNNNNNNNNNNNNNNNNNNNNNNNNNNNNNNNNNNNNNNNNNNNNNNNNNNNNNNNNNNNNNNNNNNNNNNNNNNNNNNNNNNNNNNNNNNNNNNNNNNNNNNNNNNNNNNNNNNNNNNNNNNNNNNNNNNNNNNNNNNNNNNNNNNNNNNNNNNNNNNNAAGAGCUAGCCUUGACAUUCACUCUUUUUGGUGAUUUUAUUUUGUAUGUCCUCAUCUCAAAAAUUUUCAUGAUCACAACUUGAACGUAAUAGGUUUAGUACAACACAGUGUACUUUCUGCAGAUGACCAAGAUAUUCUGAUUUUGAUUUUCUGACUUGCAGUUUUACUGUGGCAAGAGCAACGAGUACAAUGAUCUUGCAACAAUUUUCUUUAAUACUCAGGUAUCAUCAGAAUUGUGAAAGCCCUUCUUCAUUGCUUUACAUUUGGGUUUCACAUGUCGGUCCAUUUUUUCAUUUUAAUGCAGUUAUAAUGUUCUUACAGGAUGAUGCUAUAAGGAAUCUGUUUAGUGCGAAGACAAUCCAUGAGUUCAGUGCCCAAAGUUUAUUAACAUUUCUGGUAGUAUAUUUUUUUUUCCUUAUUUUCACAUGAGAAGAUUAGUCAUAUCGCAUCUGUGAUUUUUUUUAAAUUGAUUCAAUUGUUCUCAGGUCUUUUGCCAGGCACUGAGCCUUGUUGCUCUUUUGCUUUAUGCUUUAAUUUUAAAAUUUGAAAUUAAUAGACUUUUCUUCUCCAGUCACUCCAUAAGUGCUGCAGCUGGCUACCAGGCUGCUUUCUGGAAAAGAAAAUUAAUGCUAUUUUUUUUUUUUUUUUUUUGUAUUCUGAAAAUGAAGUAUGAUGAUAUUUUUCAAAGUCCAAAAUUUUAAUUACUACAGGUCCACAAUAAAGUCUCAGGAAGCUUUAGGUCUAGGUUGUUCGGAAUCAGAAUGGGGGAUCUGUCUUGUGUAUACAUUUGAUGGUUGUUCUUAUUUUUAUAUUUUGAAUUUCUCAAGAAAGAGCUCUAAUUUACCUCCUGAUGUCUUUUGUACAGAACUCAGCACUUUCUUUCUUAUUUUCAUCUUUGUAGUUUGUUCUGAUACUCAUUUUGGUUAUCUAAAUCCAAUCCAGUUUCUUUUAUACUAUCUACUUCCCUGCUUAUUCAGCUUAUGCUCUCUGACCUUAUUAUGUUGUUGAUUUUUUUUUUCCAAUUAUUUUAUGGUUAAACUAACCAGAAGAGGGUUUAUGAUCAUAUUUUAAUAUCUUCAUCCAAUUGAGUGAAUUUUGUGCAUCUGUUUAUAAUGUUUACAGGUGAUGUUUUAUACCCUAGCUGUGGUGACAUUUGGCACAGCAGUUCCUGCUGGUCAGUUUGUCCCUGGAAUAAUGAUAGGAUCAACAUAUGGACGCAUUGUCGGCAUGUUUGUUGUUAAAUUUUACAACAAGCCCAACAUUGAGGAGGGAACGUGAGUCUCUUGCUUUGGUUCUGUGAAAUUUUCAACAGUAAGACGUAUUUCGUUGAUGACACAUUUUCUAUGCACUCACAAAAGCUUUGCUUUUAUGCUGGAUAAAAAACAAUAACCAACUCAUGGUUUUUUUCUUUUUUUCAUGCAUAUCAUAAAAUUGUCCCUCAUUUAUUUAUUUAUUUAUUAUACUGCAUUCCUUGCUCAAUAUGGUUGACUUUUACCUUCUAUCCAUGAAAAACUAUUGCCUCAAUACUAUUUUCUUCUUUCUGAACUAUGCUGUAUGCGUCCUGGUCAACUUGUAGAUAUGCUUUGUUGGGCGCUGCUUCCUUCCUUGGAGGUUCUAUGCGUAUGACAGUCUCAUUAUGUGUCAUAAUGGUUGAGAUCACAAACAACUUGAAGCUUUUACCUCUCAUCAUGCUUGUCCUCCUUAUAUCAAAGGUAAGCUUUUGAAUUGCUUAACAUAUUUAUUGAUGAAUGUUCUAUAAAAUCAAUCUCAUCUUUCCUCUGCAGGCCGUUGGUGAUGCUUUUAAUGAAGGUCUAUAUGAAGUUCAAGCUGAAUUGAGAGGCAUUCCAUUACUAGAUUCUAGGCCUAAAUAUCAAAUGAGAAAAAUGACUGCAAAGGAAGCUUGUGGAAGUCAGAAGGUUAUUUUCAUUUCAACUGCUUCUCAUUUGUGUCUCCCUUUCGCUGGGCGGUUGUUUCAGAUACCAUCUUGAUUGUGUAAAAUGAACUACCAUGAAGUAUAUAAAUUGUGACUGCUAUUGGCAUGAGCAAUUGACAUUUGAACUCUUCAAGCCAAUCCUUUUUGUCUUGGCUUUCUUAUUUCUUUUCCUCUUCUAUUGUGCUGCACACCAUCUUCAACUCAUUGUGUUUGCUCUUCCAUCAUUUGAAGGUUGUCUCCUUUCCUCGGGUUGCUAAGGUUGCAGAUGUAGUUUCUAUCUUACGAAGCAAUAAACACAAUGGUUUUCCUGUAAGCUUUGCACGGAUCUUUGUCGUCUUCUGUUUAUGCAUGGGAUUUCUAAACUAUAUUCUAAUACUGUACUUGCACGUAGGUGAUUGAUCACACAAGGAAUGGAGAAACCCUUGUAAUUGGACUUGUUCUUCGCAGGUAGAACUCUUAAUUCUCUUUUGGUUUGUGUUGUUUUAUUCAUUAGAAGCAGAGGCCAUGCAUCUAAUUUAAUUUUUGGUUUCCUUGGCAGCCACUUGCUAGUGCUUCUUCAGUCUAAGGUAGAUUUUCAGCAUAGUCCUUUGCCUUGUGAUCCUAGAGGUGCUUCCAGUACAAUCAGGUAAAGGGAAGCUUAAUACUAGUUAUCCUUGCUGUUACUUGAUUGACCUUCACACUUGCUGAAACAAGUGGAUUCUAUCUCAGGCACAAUUUCGGUGAAUUUGUGAAACCUGCCUCCAGUAAAGGAAUUUCCAUAGAUGAUAUUCAUCUCAGUUCAGAUGACUUAGAAAUGUACAUUGAUCUUGCCCCAUUUUUGAAUCCUUCUCCAUAUGUUGUCCCUGAGGACAUGUCUUUAACAAAGGUGAACCACUUUUUUCCUAUUUGUAUUUCAUAAUGUUGCAUAUGGGGUCUGGGAGUCCCCCAGUUUGUAUGAUAUAUUAUGCAUUUUGCCAAUGGCAUAGGUAUAUAAUCUUUUCCGCCAGCUAGGAUUAAGACAUAUAUUCGUUGUUCCUCGUGCUUCACGUGUGAUUGGCUUGAUUACCAGAAAGGAUUUGCUUAUUGAGGUAGGUCGGCAUUAAUUUCUUCCACAUUUUAAAUUUAACUGGUCCAGUGUAACGAUUGUUCUGUGGCGAUUUGUAUUAUAGGACAAUGAGGAUUCAGCUAGUAUGGAGCUCCAAUCAACUAGUGUAAGGUCUCUAUGCUGCUCUACUCGUGUUUUCUGUUUGUUCUAAUGCAUAUGCAUCAGGGAAUUUUUAAUUUUAUUCAGGACAAGCUAAAUAAUCCUUUACUUCUGCGUCAUAACCAUUCAGAAUGAAUGUAAAUUAUGAUAAUGUUUCUUUAAAUGCACUUGUCUUUUUAGAUCAUUGGUGCUGUCAAGCAACAUGGUGUCUACUAGAUCCCUAAUUCAUAGAUGUAUAGCAGUAGCGGCAUUAGGAGUUUGCCUGUCAAGGCAACAUGAAAAGUUUUCUUCUCUCUUCACUGUCUGUGAAAUGGACAUGCAUAUUAAAUAUCCACACUUUAGGGUGUUGAUGUUUUUACCAUUUCGGUAUUUUCCCUAUUUCCUUAUUCAUGCCUGGUGUUGCUUGAUUAAAUUUAUUAUAGACAGCCAUUGGGAUUGUAUCCCAGUGGUCAAGUGUUUGCCCGGUGUUGCAACAGGAGAAGUUAUAUUACUUUGAGAAUUUCCGAUGUUUAAGGAAAAAAAAAAAAAAAAACUUUUACCAGUAUUUUGACACGCCAAAACCUUAUUUUCUUGUGCAUUCAUUAAAAAAAAAAAAAAAGAAAUCAAUUUAUCUAAUUAUUCGUUAACCAUCUAUGCUGUUAUUUAAGUUAAAUUAGCGUGUAGUUUUGUUUUGCUCACUGUAUUAGUCUGCUGAAUUUACUGCCAUAAGUGCUGCAUUGAUUGGUUUUCAACUUCUCUGAUCAUCUUUUUGAUUAUUGGUGGCAGAACUAAAUAUUUAGAUAGAAGAAUGUUCACUAGGAAUACAGAUGUGCAGCGCCCACUUAUCAAUGGUGUAUUGAUCCGAGAUCAUGUCCCUGCUUGAAAUCGCCAUCCAAUUCUUCCUCAUUGGAUCACAUUUCCAGCUGAUGAUGCUGACCGAUUAUAUCCUUGAAUACCAAUUCUUUUCUCUCACUUCAUUUUUUUUGUAAUGAAAUAGAAUAUAGAUUCUCCUAGGCUUUCAUCUCUGUGAAUUAUUAUUCGCUGUCCCCUUCCAUGCAGGGGUCGUGAACCACACUUGAUCUUAUAUUUUUGUAAUCUAUUCAGAUAUGGGGGGAAAAAAAUACAGAAAUGCAAAUGUUCUCAAAGGAAGCUUUAUAGAAUUAUUUUGUUAGAAUGGAUAAUGCGUUCAUGAAUUCUGCAAGUGUUCGUGACCAGAGUGAAUGGUUCGAUGUGAAGUACUUAUUAUUGAAAAAUGAAAUAAGAUUAUUUUAUUGGUUUAAAUUUAAUGCAUUAAUUGUAUGAUACACAUAUUUGUGCUUCUAAGUGGAGCAGCCAUGCGAUUAUCCAAAUUUUGAAAAUUGAUUUCUUCAAAAAAUUUUGUAAUGAUGGUAUUUUGUCUGGCCUAAUGCGCCUUAAAAACGAUAUCAAAAACUCAGAAUACAAUGUCGUUGAUAAUGAGCCCGAAUAAUUACGUACUGUCGUUUUUAGGCCUGAUGGGCAAAUUUUUACCAAAGUAAACGGGUAAAUUCUUAGCAAGCAAAUGGAGAUUAAGAGAAUAAUUAAUUUUUUAAAAUUAUAAAAAAAUUUUAUUUUUUAUCUCAAAAUUAAAAAUAACUAAUAUAAAUAAAAAUGAUUGAAAAAAAGGAUCAUUUACUGCACUUUAUAAUUCAAAAUAAUUUAAGUGGGUCAUUUAAAUAGACGGUAAACUAUUGAAAAAAAAUAGAGUUUGAAAACUACUUGUCAAAUACCGAUGUGUCAAUGAGAAUUAAUGAGGCGCUACCCAGUCUUUCAAAGUAAACGACAAUAACAAACGCAUCUUGCACUGUCUAGUUGAUAAAAAAAAAAUAAUAAUAAUAAAAUAAAAUGGAUUGUCUAUGCGGAAGAAUGUGCUAAAUGCCUAAAAAAUGAAAACUUUUGUGCAUAGAAUCUAUUUAGACCUUCAUUUAGUCUACCAAUUAAACUAAUCUAAAUGAUCUUGUGUAAGACUAAUCCUCUGAAUCUAUAAUGUGAUUCUUGUAUGUUUUUCAUUAAAUCCUCUCUAACAAAAACAGAUAAUGUUACAGUCAAAUGUUUAAAACUGCUAGGACAGAACAGCUAACCUCUCCUAAGCAAACGCUCUGUCUAGUAUUCCCCGUUUUUAAGUUUCUAAUUUUAGCAAUUCUUCCUAUAUAAACCUAUUUACAAUCACAUUAUGCAAAACACUAGUUCCUUUUGCUUUCUUCUCUAAUUACCUUUGCUUUUCUUUGUUACUUCAAUUCUGAGUUAAUCAGUUUCAUUAAUCUCCUUGCAUUGCUGAGAAGUUUAAUUAGUUGUGGUUAAGGAAGGUAAUUAAAAAUGCCAGCCAUAGUAAUUGCCAGCAAUGGCGAUAUGCCAACUUUCGAAGGAAGGAUGACUUUUACAGUCGUCUUAUGUGUUAUUAUUGCAGCUUGUGGAGGCCUAAUGUUUGGCUAUGACAUUGGUGUUUCAGGUACUUUAGUACUAAUAUUUAAAUAAAAUAAAUAAUCUUCUUAUAAUUAUUUCAUAUUUGUUGGCAAACUAAUUAAUUAUUUUCUUGAAUAUAAAAAUUGCAGGUGGUGUUUCAGCCAUGGAUGACUUCUUGGUAAAAUUCUUUCCUUCAGUUUAUGAAAGAAAGAAACAUGCACAUGAAAACAAUUACUGCAAAUAUGACGAUCAAUAUCUCCAACUGUUCACUUCUUCCUUAUACAUUGCCGCUCUUGUAGCCAGCUUUGUGGCUUCAAAAACCUGCACUAAGUUUGGCAGGAAACCCACUAUGCAAUUUGCUUCCUUUUUCUUCAUAGCAGGUGUCGCUUUAAGUGCCUUUGGAGUAAAUAUAGAAAUGGUGAUUGUUGGCAGGGUUUUCCUUGGCUUCGGUGUUGGAUUUGCCAAUCAAGUAUAACUUCUUCUUCUUCUUCUUCUUCUUCUACAGAGUCUGUUUCGCAUUGCUGCUGAAACUGCUUAAAAACAAAAUUUAGCAGCUCAAACAGCAAUGUUGAAGAGGGCUUAAUUAAAAUACAAAGAAAAAUUAACAGAACUGGCUCAUUUUUACAGGCAGUGCCACUAUUUCUUUCAGAGUUAGCUCCAGCGAAAGUCCGAGGAGCGCUAAAUAUUUGUUUCCAACUCUUCAUAACAAUUGGAAUAUUGCUUGCAAAUAUUGUGAACUACUUCGUGGGUGAGAUUCACCCAUACGGAUUUAGAAUUUCACUUGGACUUGCAGGCGUACCAGCUUUGAUGCUUGGUUUAGGUUCAUUAAUCAUAGUUGAAACACCAACAAGCUUGAUAGAGCGUGAUAGAGUAGAAGAAGGAAGAGCAGUACUCAAGAAAAUCAGAGGAAUUGACAAUGUCGAUCCUGAAUUUGAUUCUAUAGUACACGCUUGUGAGAUUGCUAGGCGAGUGACAGACCCUUAUGCCAAACUCAUGACAAGACCAAGCAGACCACCACUAAUCAUAGCGAUUAUGUUGCAAAUUUUCCAACAAUUCACUGGAAUUAAUGCGAUUAUGUUCUACGCACCUGUUUUGUUUCAGACAGUUGGUUUUGGAAAUGAUGCAGCUCUUCUAUCGUCCGUUGUAACAGGAACUGUUAAUGUUCUGUGCACUAUUGUUUCUGUUGUGGUUGUAGAUAGAGCAGGAAGGAGGAUUCUUCUUAUUGAAGCUUGUUUACAAAUGCUUAUUACACAGACAGUUAUUGGAGUUAUAUUAAUGAAGGAUUUGAAACCCACUGGUGAUUUACCAAGUUCGGAGGCAUUAAUUGUGGUGGUUAUGGUAUGUGUAUUUGUUGCUGGUUUUGCUUGGUCAUGGGGUCCCUUGGGUUGGUUAAUCCCAAGCGAAACGUUUCCUCUUGAAACAAGAACAGCUGGGUAUUCAUUUGCAGUUAGCUCUAAUAUGCUCUGCACAUUUAUAAUCGCACAAGCAUUUUUGUCCAUGCUCUGCAAAAUGCAAGCUGGGAUUUUCUUCUUCUUCGCAGCUUGGAUUGUGGCUAUGAUGGUAUUUGCUCUGUUUUUCAUUCCUGAGACUAAAGGUAUUCCCAUUGAUGAGAUGGUUGAUAGAGUUUGGAAGCAGCAUUGGUUCUGGUAUAGAUUCUUUGACGAUGAACAUGAUGGUCCUGUCAAGAAACCAGCUAAGAUGAUUCACACUCAUAUGCCUUGAGAUUUUCAGAGCAACCUGAGGAGUUCAAUAAGGGGAAGAAAGAAAAAACAGAAAAAAAGGAAAAAAAACAAUGAAUAAUGGAAUCUUUAAUCUUGUCUUUGUCAUUGUGAUUAGGCAAAGAAUUUGGUGAAUAAUGUAACCAAAUACACACUGCCAGUUUCAGCUAGAUGGAACGGAAAGGUUUUAUUGGAAAGGAAAGCUGUCCCAGUUGUGUAUUUCAUUUCAUGUUUGACGUUUCAAUGAUCUGAGAAAUAAAAAGACAAAAAAAAAAAAAAAAAAAAAAAAAAUCGCACCCUACCAUCUCUUAUUCAUUUUGCUUCAUCUAUUACCUUUUAUUGGACUAUUAUUAGAUAAAAUAGUUCUUGAGAUAAAGAACUAAAUAAAAUAUGAGCUACAUAUUUCUAGAUUAGAAACAGAUGCAAGGAUUUGUUUUAAAAAAGAAAAAAAAAAAAUAUAUAUAUAUAUAUAUAUAUAAUAUUUAUUUUAAAUUUACCCGAAUUUCUGAGCUUAACAUGUUGGAGCUUUAAUCGGCUCAUUUACAGUCGCUAGAGGCACAUGCACACACGUUAACUGUUCAAAAUCUUCACAUUUUCUUUUUCAUAAAUAUUUGUUAUCUCAAAAAAAAAAAAUAAAUAAAUAAAUAAAGCCUAAGACAGUAAUUAACCUUACAAAUUCCAAUAGGAUUACGAUCAGGAUAAAACCUUGUAGGAAAAUAAAAAAUAUAUCAAAGAAACUUCCAGUUAAAUAUGCAUUAUUUCCUAAUUUAGAAAAUUAAAUAAUAUUCUAAAUUAGAGGGAAAACCCUAUUCCCACCAAUAUCAGAAAAAAAUCGUUGCCUUCAUUGUUGAGAAAUUCUUCCUUUAUGGCAGGAAGACAUACUAUAUAUAAAUAUAUGUGGAAAAAGAAAUGAACAGACCAUUUUAUUUUUCAUUGAGUGGAGUGACAGAAAACUAAGAGAAAGAGAAAAGAAAAGAUAUGGCAGAAAGAACAGAGAGAACAGUCACAUAAAUAGAAAAUGAUGGUGGUGGUGGUGAUGAGAAUUAUCCAUGGAAGAUGAAUCUUUAUGUUGCUGUGUGUUGGAUUCUUGCUGCCUUUGGCGGCUUAAUGUUCGGUUAUGAUAUUGGAAUUUCAGGUUCUUACAUACUCUCUAUAUUGUGAUUCGUUAUCAUAUUUUUUACUUUUGACUGUAUCGCUUUAUGUUUUAUAUUUUCAUUGUGUAUUAUUCUAUUACCAAAAGUUACUGCUACAGAGCUACUUGGACCCGUUAAUUCUUUCUUACUAAUUAAAAUUUUUAAUAUUUUUUAUUCAUUAUUAAUAUUGCAAUCAGAUAACAAAAAUAGUUUUUUAGAAAAUAUUUUCCCGAAUUAAGUUAUUUUCCAAAAAAAAAAAAAAGAGUUUGGUAAUGACAAAAUUUUAUUUUUCAUAUUUUCAGUUUUAUAUAAAUUUCAAUUAAAAAAAAUAUUUUUCCUAUCAAAAUUGUUCGCAUGUUAAAAAAAAAAAAAAAAAAAUUUUUUCCUUCAAAAAUUUUUCCCAAUUUAAAAAAAAAAAAAAAAAAAGUCAAUUUUCUAUCCAAAGUAUGGAGAUAAUAAUUAUAAUGCACUUGUUUUUAUUUUUUUUACUAAUUACUUAAUUUAUGUGUUUAUGAAGAUGAGGCAAAAAUUAAUUAGUUGACCAGAAUUUUGUAUAAGCAUAUAGGUUAGGGCAUUUUAGGUAAAAAAAAAAAUUGAUUUAUUUAUUUUUUGGAAACCCAACUCUGAUAUUCUGAUUUUAGGUGGAUUGACAGCUAUGGAUGAUUUUUUUGAUAAACUUCUUUCCUUCUGCAAAGGAAAACAAUUACUGCAAAUAUGACAAUCAAUAUCUUCAGCUUUUAAAUGUCAAAAAAAAUAUAUAUAUCUUCAGCUUUUCACAUCUUCACUUUACCUUGCUGCACUUUUUGCAAGCUUCGGGGCCUCAAAAGUCAAAAGUCUGCUCAAAGUUGGGUCGAAAACCCACAAUUUUUCUUGCAUCAUUGUUUUUCCUCGCAGGAGCUUCUCUAAGCUCUGGCGCUCAAAGUCUCUGGAUGCUGAUUCUUGGCAGAGUUCUCUUAGGUUUCGGUGUAGGAUUUGGGAAUAAGGUAAUAAACAUUAGUUUCAGACAACAUUAAUAUCUCUAAUAAUUCAUAAUUCCUUAAAGAUAAAUUCUUUUUGUUCAGGCUGUUCCGUUGUUCCUGUCAGAAAUAGUACCAGUUCAGCAUCGUGGAGCUGUGAAGAUUCUGUUUCAGCUUUUCAUUACUAUAGGGAUCUUAAUAGCAAAUCUCGUUAAUUAUGCCUCUACAAAAUCACAUCCUAAUGGAUGGAGAAUAUCAUAGGGGCUCGCAGGUGCGCCUGCUGUCAUCCUGUUUAUAGGCUCAAUAGUGAUUACUGAGACGCCUGCAAGCCUAAUCGAGCAGGGAAAACGAGGCCAAGGGAUCAAAGCUCAAGAAACUUAAAAGGAGUUGAAAAUGUUGAGGCUGAGUUUAAGCAAAUUGAGGCUGCUUGUGAAAUGGCGACGCAAAUUAAGGAUCCAUUCAAGAAUCUGACGAGAAGUUAUAGCAUUCCUCCGCUAAUUAUAGCCAUAGUGAUGCAAGUGUUUCAGCAGUUUACAGGAAUCAAUGCUGUAAUGUUUACGUGCCUGUUUUGUUUCAAACUGUGGGUUUCAAGAAUGACGCAUCUCUUUUGUCUUCUGUCAUUACCGGACUUGUUAAUGUUAUUAGCAUUCUUGUCCUAUAUAUGCGGUGGAUAAGAUACGCAGAAGGAAACUGCUGCUUCAAGCUUGUUUUCAGAUUUUUAUUUGUCAGGUUUAUACAUAAAAACUAAAUUAACUGCUCAUCUUUAUUAAUUGUUAUUUUACCUCUGGUUUUGACUUGUUUUGAUGGUGCAGGUUGUGAUUGGAUUUAUUUUGCUACUGAAGUUGUCAGAGACAGGGAGUAUUUCACGUCCACUAGCAGCCGUUAUAGUGGUUCUAGUGUGCUUGUACGUUAUGGCCUUUGCAUGGUUAUGCCGUUCUCUUGGCUGGUUGAUUCCAAGCGAAACGCUCCCUUUAGAAACCAGAAUUGAGGGGUUUGCUUUUGCAGUUAGCACAAAUAUGCUCUGUACUUUCAUCAUAGCUCAAGCAUUCUUAUCAAUGCUUUGCCAGAUGCGUGCCGCUAUAUUCUUCUUCUUCGCCGGUUGGAUCAUUAUUAUGUGCCUUUUCGUUUGGAAAUUGUUGCCGGAGACUAAGAAUGUCCCUAUUUAUCUCAUGGUUGAACAAAUAUGGAAGAAGCAUCCUGUAUGGAGAAAAUUCAUGGAUUGAUGGUUAUACUGAUACAUGACAGUGUUUAAUUAGUAGCAUUGUAUAAAGGGAGGCCACACAUUAUAACUACCAAUUCUUGUUUUUAUUAUUAAUAAUGGGAAAUUGGUAUUUCUGGUUUCAUAUGCUUCUGUUGAAAUGAAUUUUUCAACUUACUUUUAUUUGAUGAAAUAUGAAAACCAGAAACCAACAAUUUGAGAUAGAAGAAUAGCAGUAACAGAGAUCGAAAAAUACAUUAAAGACCACAAUUGUAAAUCUAAUGUAAUACAUUAAUUAUUGCGUUGUGUAUAACAACUAGGUUCAAAAUUUGGAAAAAAUUAAGCAAAACUGAACACAAAAAUUCCCAAAACAGCAAUAGAAAUGAAAGGUUUGAUUAGCACGGCUUGAUUGGAGGAAGGGCCCGGUACUCUGGCAGCAGGAACUGGAGGAGAGAGCGUUGAAGGUUGAGAAGCAGAAGCAGAAGCAGAGGGAGAUGGGGACAUUUCUUGAUCAUUGCGAGGGACGUUAAUAUCAAUCUUCUGGCCAGCUUGGCAGUGGCCAGGUACACCACAGAAGAAGAAAUGGUGGCCACGAGUUUUAAUGGUGAUUGAGUCAUUGCCUGUGGUAUAGGUUGCCAAUGGGGCAGAGGCAUUACAUGUCUUGUACAUCUCGUGCGUUACUCUCAUUACGUUGUGAAAUUGGGAGUUGUAUUCGAAAACUGAUCACAAACACCAAAAAAUUACCUAUUAGGAGUGACAGUAAUGAGAAUAGAAAAACAAGAAUAGUAUUUGAAUUAGAGAAUUAACAGGUUGUAAUCUAUCCUAUGAAAUUUUCUAUACAAGAAUUUAUAGAAUUAGCAAACUAUUAUUGUCCUUAUAGCAAGAUGAAAGAAAUAACCAUCGAGCGAGAGUCUCAAGCUUUAAAUGUAUAACAAACGCUAAUCUUCUACGAACUUUACACAUUUUGAAAUGAUCGAAAAAGUGAAGUUAUCGUGCUUGCAAACGUACGAGAAACAUCGAAGCUACCUCUGCUUUUCCUACAAUUUGGCAAUAGACAGAUGGAUGUGACUCUCCACCUACAAUUCCAACAAUCAUGAAAUGUCUCCAAACACCAUAGAAACUAAAAGGUUUGUGCCGACAUUAUCAUGCCAAUACACACAAUAAAAGAAUAGUGCCUGCACUGUACUUCAAUAUUACCUCAUUGGCCUUCUUAGUGAAACCUAUAAUUCUUUAGGUGGUUGAUUUUCUACAGUUUAAUUAUGCCUCGCACUCACAGAUCGCAAGCCUAGAAGGUACAUUAAGCUUCAAAAGUCGUACGGAGAGGACGGAAAAUUUUCCUCUCAAUUCACGGAAAGUUUAAAGUUUUUUCCCAAGCACGGAAAACUUUCUCUCCGAUCAGGGAUGACAGGAAACACUUUUCGUGAUCAAGAUUCAAUACCUGUAAGGAAAUGAUUUUCUUUUUACAUUUUUUUUUAAGGAGAGAGAAUAAUAGCCCAAAUAUCAUGGGCCCAACAGGUGCUGAGCCCAUCAGUAGGCGGCCCCACUUCCAGAGUUCUUUUAACAUAACGGUACACUUUGAGUUGAGUGGGCCAUUAGCACAUCAUGUACAAUCACUAGUGUUGGUCCCACAAAAUCAUUAUGACACACACACCAACUCUUGCUUAAAUUGCUUGGGACACUUGGAGGAUCAUAUAUCGCCCUCGUGUCAAUCGUAUUCAUACGUAUGAUUCACCAUGUUUCCCAACUUCCUAUGUAGAACAAGGCGAAGUUCAUUCGCCAAAGAAAACUAAAUCUGAUGACUGUAUUUUCAGAAUUACUAUGAAAUUGCGAGUUCUACUAUCACAGCCAAAUCUUGAAUAGUCUAGAAGCAAAACAAGAAUAUACCAAGAACUAACAAAACCCAGAAUCAAGAUCUAACAGAACAUGAAUUGUGAAGUCAGUUUAAUUAGUAGGUAAAGCAAUCAAUUAAUGGGUUUCAUGAAGAAAAGAAGGAAAAAGAAACAGAAACCCAAAUCCAAUUCCUGAUAACAAGGUGAAAAAUAAGAUUAAUUCUUACCAAUAACAUCACCAACUUGGAAAGUUUUAGUAGCAGCCCAUUGUUUGUAGUCAACGUUGCCAAUGGUGGUCCAACCAGCAGAGUCUCCCACCUUGUAUACGACUGCAUCGAUCACCUGAGACAUGAAUGCCAUUAUCAACAGUAGAACCACAGCUAAAUUGACUGAAGCCAUGGAUGCCAAUGAACACUGAGUGGAUAUGAUUGAUGGGUAUACGUUUUGUAUUUUCGUGGGUUUGAGUUGGAGACCUGAAGAGAUUUCUGCUGAUCGAGGCGUUUAUAAGUCUUUUGGACUUAUAUGAGUUUUGUCGCUGGGGUCAUCAAUCAUCAAGUGAUUUUAUUUUGUGGAAUCAGAUUUUGGUCCCCUGCUUUUUCGUAUAUGUAUUUUAGGAACCCCAAAUUUCAGGAAUUUGACAAUUGUGGUCCUAUAUGGUAAUGUUGCUCAUAAGUCACUCAUAAUUACAAGAAUUUAAUUACUGGCUUACCCAUUUCGGUGGCUUAAUAAGUUAUAUAAUUGAGAGUCAAAAUAUUCUGUAAUUUGAAAUAUUUUGAUCAACAAUUCUCUUACUAUAAAAAACACUUGGAGUAUAAAUUUAAGAAUUUAAAAUCAAGUUCUAAGGGUUUGUGGUUCACAUCAAUUAAUUAAUGAGUGUAUGGUAUUGGUAGGUUGUGCUUUUAUUUUUUAGGACUACAGUUUUGAAACACUUGAAAGGAAAGAAUGCUGGGGAUGCUAGUGGGUGGUGUGAUGGCAAGUGCAAAAGAACAACUAAUUUAUACACCAUGAAUUUAUUUUUAUUAGUUAGUGCUAUAAUCAUAAUGAGCAUACCUACCAUUAUAUUUGUUUUUCUCCCUUCUGGUAGAGCAUUGUUGCUUUAUACAAAGGUGAAGCAAGAGUCUUGCAGCCUACACAAUCCCAUAACACGUUACAAGCACAUUUUGCUUAUCAAACUCCAUUUACCCGAUUACUAGAUUAUUGCAAGCAAAUGAGCUCUCUGGAUGUCAUUACAAGCUUAAUGAAAAAAUAUGCAGAAUGGGGUGCAUUUCAUUACAAGCCUCCUUUGUUAGAAUGGAUAUUCUAUCUUAAACGACAAAUACAUAUUCCUGCUUAUACUUAUGUUUACACUUUACAGGAUGAGAUAUCACAUGAUUCGAUGUCUGUCUCCUUGCUUAUCAACCAUUUCAUUAAGUUUUCACAGUUAAGCAAAAUUUGCUUCGCAUUUGAUUGAAAUAGUCAAUUUAGUGGAUGUAAUGUCAAGUGUUAGGUUGGUUUUAAAGCGACCAUUAGAUAAAGAACAAGCCGUCAAAUUGGUUAAAUAUAGCCUCCCCUCCCCUGCCUAAACUUGGCUUCUCAAACACUUAUUGCCCAUUCAACUUUUUCUUUUUAAAUCGUUUUUUGAGGUUCUAGACAAGCAAUCAGCAGUAUAAGCCAAAUUGCUCAAUAAAAAAAAAAAAAUGUAAAUGCAAAACAGUACUAGAGAAACAGAAAUUCUUAAUUGCUCUCAAAUUAUAUAGUAGACAACAUGGUAUUGGCAAAAUAAUAUAUAUAUUAUAUAUAAUCUAAUUUGACUGUUUUGUAGCAACUAUCUGCAAUUUUUUUUACAACUGGGAAACGGGAUCAAAUCCAUUUGAAUGGCCAUUUUUCAGUUUGUAAUCACUGAUAGUGUUAAUUUUUAUAGUAUUUUUAUUAUAAUUUUUACUAAGAUUUAUAGUGUUUUUAAUUUAUCUAAAUUAGUUUUUAUAUAAUAUUGUUAUAUUUUUAUUUAAAAGCUUCCUUGAAACACAACUCACUUGAUUUUGAGGAAAAGUGUAGGAUUUUGCAAGAAAAGGACAAAAAUAAGGCAUAACAUGGAUUAGCACGCUUCAGCCCGUGCUAAGGCGCACCGUGCCAAAUACAAGGCAAAUCAAGCAAGAGCUAGAGGCGCGCACGCCCCAGGCCAUGCUGAGUAGCACGCUUGUGCCUAAAUUGCCUCAGACUUCCAAAGAGAUGCACGCCCCGCCCCGUGCCAAAGACCACGCCCGUGCGCGCACUAGAGAUAGAAGCCUAGCCCGUGCAGUUGAAGCACACCCGUGCUACACAAUUGCCUCAGACUUCCAGAAGUGCACGCCUCGGCCCGUGCCGCCUCGCACGCCCAUGCUGAGAGCCCUAGACUUCCAGAGCCUGGCACGCCCCAGGCCGUGCCAAGCAAGAAACUCUGAACUUGAGUCAAAAAUUGCCAACUAAUUCCUACCAUUUUCACAAGAUACUUUGGAUACUCUCUUCACAUGCUAGUCAAAGUUCAACCAUAUGCAUUUGGAAAGCCAUAAUUGAGAGCAAUUUAUGAGUUGAUUUAGAACAUUUACAUCUCACAAAAGUUGGACUUUACUCAUUAAAGCAUAAGGCUUGUUCCCCCAAGAAGUCUACAUAAAGAGGGGAAGGAGCCAUUCCAAGGGCAUCCCAUACUCUACAUCUCUUCUCCCAUCUCUCAUAGCUUUGUAUAUAGUUUUGUUUCUCCUAGAAGUUAGGCAUUCAAGAGUUGUGCAAAGUUUCAAGGAAGUCAUCCAAGCAAUCAUUCACUAGUUCUUAUUUCUAAACUCUUAAUCUUGUUUAUUUCUUUCAUUAUUCUUAUUAAUUAUGAAAUAUUUAUCAAGUAUUAUUGAGUCUUAUUUAAGUAUUAUGUGUAACUAAACUCUUAUACUAGGGGUUUGAUGUAGCUUAAUCUCUUUUCCAAUUUAUGCAAUUAGAUUUAUUUUUCCUUAUUCAAGUUAUGAUUUAUUAAUGAACUUAAUGCUUCUAGGCAGAAUUUUCCCUUAGAUUGAUUUAUUUCAAUUAUCACUAUCAGAAGAAGGAUAUUUGAUAAGAAAAGGUUAAUAAAAUACAUGAGAAUAAUAACUUGAUGCGGAAGCUAUAUGGUUUGACUCAUGGGGGUUUUUAUGAUUUAUCAACCUUAAAUUGUAAAUUCAUGAACAACUACAUAACUUAAUGAUUUAAUUCACAUUUGAUUGCGCUAUUGGAAGAUAGGUAAUUAGACCGAGUUAAAAUAGCUAACAAUACAUCGGAAGAGCUUGUUAGUGAUUUUUGGGUUGUUUCCCCUACUUGAAUAAUUAAAUUGAUCAAUGAACUAAUGAAAUAAAUUGGAUAGAAUUAAGUAAAAUCAAAACCCCUAGUAGUUUUAAAUCAUUGAUUUCUUUAAUCAAUAAUUGCUUGCUUAACUUCUUAUUUUUACUUGUUGAAUUUAAUUUUAUAAAUAAUUUCCUCAUUUAUCGUUUAAAUAAUAACAAGAUAACAUAAUUUUGGUACUUGGAUUACAAUCCUCGUGAGAACGAUAUCUUACUCAUCAUAUAUUACUUGUAGCGAUUCGUACACUUGCGAAAAUCUCUGUCAAUCACGAUUGAUUUCGGGCAGUCCCUCAUCAUCAUCCAUAAAUCUCCUCCAGAACCAAUGUUGCUUCCACACCCUUUCUGUCAUCUCUUCAAUAGGAAUAUUUUUGGUCUCCGGCAGCAAGAAAAGUACGAAAAAUGACAUGAUAAGCACCCAACCAGAGAAAAACAAGAAGAUACGAUACUUGAAAUGGCAGAGCAUGGAAAGGAAGACCUGUGCUAUAGCAAAAGUGAAAAGCAAGUUGACACAAACAGUCACACUCUGACCGGCUGAACGAGUCUCCAAUGGAAAUGUUUCGCUAGGAAUGAGCCAUCCUAAAGGCCCACAAGACCAAGCAAAGGCAGAAACAAAUGUGCACACCAUAAUCACAACUAAUAUUGCAAACCCUUUAUGAAGGUCUUCAGAAUAGUCUGUAAGUUUAAUUCCUAAUACUAUUGCUAUUAUUACUUGAGAGAGAAACAUUUGGAUUCCAGCUUCCAGUAACAGCAGUCGACGGCCUACUUUGUCCACUGAGUCAAUUGAUACUACAGUAGAAAGAACAUUCACUGCUCCUUUUAUGGCUGCUGAAUAACGAGAAGCAUCGCCCCCAAAACCUAAUGUGUCGAAUAGGACAGGAGCAUAGAACAUGAUCGCAUUUAUGCCAGUGAAUUGCUGGAAAAUCUGUUGCAUAAAUUAAGCUAAACUAUUACUAUUUUUUUUUUUUCUGGAUAGACAUAUGUGUACUUGAACAUAUUUAGAUAAAUACUGACCUGCAUGGCGACUGCUAUAACCAACUGUGGCCUGUUUCUACGUUUGAGGAGAUUUCUGAAGGGAUGUUUUACUUCUUUUGCUAUACGGCUUGCCUCAACGAGUUCUUCAAAUUCUGGUUCAAUCCUAUCUGUGCCUCGAAUCCUCCUGAGAACAGAUUUUCCUUCUUCCAGUCGGCCACGCUCGAUAAGACUGUUAGGAGUUUCUGAUACUAGAAGAGCCCCUACAGUCAAUAGAAGAGCAGGAAUGCCAGCUAGUCCUAAUGAGAGUCUCCAUCCCCAUCCUCCUUUGAUUCUGUUUAUGUAAGACACAGCAACAACAGCAGGAACAAAUACAGAACAACCUGAUAAAGAAAGAAAAAUCAAAAAAUGGGAAUAAGCUCACUUUGCAGUUCCAUAAUUGACAAGGUUAGCAAAAAGAAUGCCGAUGGUGACAUUAAGCUGGAAGAGUAUGUUAAGGCCUCCACGUAUUCUCGUAGGUGCUAUCUCAGAUAGGAAAAGAGGCACCGCCUGUGAUCCAAUAGAAAUUUUAAUUAUUAAAUAUAGUAACAACUGAACCAAAUUUGUCAAUUUCAUACAGAUUAUAGUAUGGUUAUUAAGGUUAUCAAAGAAUCAAGACAACAGAUGAAAAGUCAAAAUUGGUAAUUAGGACAACAUUUCAAUUUUCAGGAAAAUUAAAUUAUUAAAGAACCAGGACAGCAAAUCCCCUAAAGUCCAACCGAGUCAUUUUUAAAUUUAAGGUAGCUGUUAGGUGUGUUUCAAGGUGUACAUCAGCCGCAAGACUUGUCACACAGGAAGUCGAAUGUAAAGUCCAAGAAAUGACAAAGGGAUAGGAUUAAAAAAUUCAAAAUUGUCCACCACACAACCAAUGACAAAGGGAUAGGAUUAAAAUCCCAGAAUGUAUGGAAACCUUUGUUAAUUAUGGAUUUAAUAUUAAUAAUGAGUGAAAUUGUUUUUCACAUUCAACAAUUGACAGCUUGAAAUUAUAGUUCACAAAUACAGAUAAUUUCUAUUUUUAAUUUAUUUUUGGUAGUUAGGUGUCAAUCAACUAAAGUUUAAAUAUAAUUAUAUAAUGGAAAGGAUUAAAAAAAAAGGAAAAAGAAAAACCAACCUGAUUAGCAAAACCGACUCCGCAUCCGAGUAAAAUCCUGCCAAUAAUGAGCAUGGCAAGGUCUUGAGCAGCAGUAUGAAGAACUACACCAACAAUGAAGAAAAUCCCAGCAAUCAACAUGGUUGGCCUUCUUCCCAGCUUUCUUGUAGUGUAGGAUGCAAAGAAGGUUGCGAUUAAACCGGCCAAGUACAGUGACGAUGUGAACAAUUGCAGCCCUUGAUUAUCAUACUUGCAAUAGUUGCUGGUGAUAUUAGGGUCCUUUUUCUUGUCAUAUACGGGAGGGAAGAACUUUUUCAAGAAAUCUGGCAUGGAUGUAACCCCACCUGCAUCGUAUCAAACCAUAACUACAUUAAAUCUACCAAAUCUUUUUAUAUUAUAUUUAAACCUUUUUUAUAUCCUUCAAAAAAAAAAACUUUUUUGUAAGAAAAUGAACAUGGAUUAAAACAUUAAAAUUUACCUAUGGUUACAGGAACAUAUUAUUGUCGGGGUCUGUCUCUGUAACCAAGCAACAACCGCAACGAGAUCUCUCGUCAACGGUUGUGGUAACUAAAUUUCCAAAAAUACCUUUAUGUCGUUAAAUCAAGCAAGGGAUUAUACGGUAAUUCUAAGCCCAACACAGCCUUUUCGGCUGCUUUGCAAUCUACAUACAACUCCAUUUUGGCGGGACAGAGCGACGUGCCUUUUUUCGUUAUCCUUUUUUCCGUUUUUGAAAACUCUAAAAAAACAACAAUAUAUUUCUUAUCUUUCCUUUCUGGUUCAUUGAAGAAAUUAUUAAAUUUUAGCUAAAAAUGUAAUAUUAUUGAAAAAGAAAAGCAUAAUAACCUGAAACUCCAAUGUCGUAACCAAACAUGAGGCCACCAGUAGCAGCCAUUAUGCAAGAAAUGAUGACGAUCAGCGUUAUCUUCGACUCGAAAUGAACUCCUCUGGCCGACGCGGCCGCAAAACCUCCGGCAGGCAUGAUUGUCGAUCAAAAUCAAAACACCAACGAAACUUAAAACUCGAAGAAAAAAUCACUUGCACUAACUAUAUGUAUAUAUUUUUUUGUUUACUGUACAUGUAUAGAGUACCAUAUUGACAAAUUGAAUUGAAUUGUAAACGCCACCGUAUAGCUAUCUUAUAGUCAUAAUUUUGGAUUUUUGCAUUGACAUUCUAUGGUCAGUGGAAAAUUUAGAAAACGAUUUGCAACUUGUAGGUUUAGACUACACAAGAUCACAAGAAGCAAGUUGGUAUCUGAAAGCAUGGCAGUAUGUAUCUUCUUUCCUAUUUCCUUCAAAUGCUUUAAGGCCUUUUGAUUUUUCUAAAAUUGAUGGAUUUUUAUUCCACUUUAAUUUAAAGGGGCAAAGGAAAAGAAAAAAGAAAAAGGAAAAUUCACUAUCAAAGGGAUAAUAAUUUGAAAAGGAGAAAUUUUGAACCAGAGGAAGAAUAAAGUGCUUUACGCAAUUCUAUUUUCAUUUUCAAAGAAUCCAUCGGUUAGUUUACCGGAAAAUCAAGAAUAUUUUGCAUUACACAAAAUAAUAAUAAUUGAUCUAAUCUAAAAUAUUUUCGCAAAUAAAUUAAUAAGAAAUGUAAUUAUUUUUUAAAGGAAAACUGUGGAUUAAUUAGUUUAUCUUACGAUUGAUUCUGUCAACUGUAUCUUCGUCAUUGCUUUUAUAAAAUACUAAUAAUAGACAACAUGGCAUUGGCAAAAUAAUAUAUAUAUUAUAUAUAAUCUAAUUUGACUGUUUUGUAGAAACUAUCUGCAAUUUUUUUUACAACUGGGAAACGGGAUCAAAUCCAUUUGAAUGGCCAUUUUUCAGUUUGUGAUCACCAUUGAUUUCGGGCAGUCCCUCAUCAUCAUCCAUAAAUCUCCUCCAGAACCAAUGUUGCUUCCACACCCUUUCUGUCAUCUCUUCAAUAGGAAUAUUUUUGGUCUCCGGCAGCAAGAAAAGUACGAAAAAUGACAUGAUAAGCACCCAACCAGAGAAAAACAAGAAGAUACCAUACUUGAAAUGGCAGAGCAUGGAAAGGAAGGCCUGUGCUAUAGCAAAAGUGAAAAGCAAGUUGACACAAACAGUCACACUCUGACCGGCUGAACGAGUCUCCAGUGGAAAUGUUUCGCUUGGAAUGAGCCAUCCUAAAGGCCCCCAAGACCAGGCAAAGGCAGAAACAAAUGUGCACACCAUAAUCACAACUAAUAUUGCAAACCCUUUAUGAAGGUCUUUAGAAUGGUCUGUAACUUUAAUUCCUAAUACUAUUGCUAUUAUUACUUGAGAGAGAAACAUUUGGAUUCCAGCUUCCAGUAACAGCACUCGACGGCCUACCUUGUCCACUGAGUAAAUCGAUACUACAGUAGAAAGAACAUUCACUGCUCCUGUUAUGACUGCUGAAUAAAGAGAAGCAUCGCCCCCAAAACCUAAUGUUUUGAAUAGGACAGGAGCAUAGAACAUGAUUGCAUUUAUGCCAGUGAAUUGCUGGAAAAUCUGUUGCAAAAAUUAAGAUAAACUAUUACUAUUUUUUUUUUCUGGAUAGACAUAUGUGUAUUUGAACAUAUUUAGAUAAAUACUGACCUGCAAGGCGACUGCUAUAACCAACUGUGGCCUGUUUCUACGUUUGAGGAGAUUUCUGAAGGGAUGUUUUACUUCUUUUGCUAUACGGCUUGCCUCAACGAGUUCUUCAAAUUCUGGUUCAAUCCUAUCUGUGCCUCGAAUCCUCCUGAGAACAGAUUUUCCUUCUUCCAGUCGGCCACGCUCGAUAAGACUGUUAGGAGUUUCUGAUACUAGAAGAGCCCCUACAGUCAAUAGAAGAGCAGGAAUGCCAGCUAGUCCUAAUGAGAGUCUCCAUCCCCAUCCUCCUUUGAUUCUGUUUAUUUAAGACACACAGCAACAAUAGUCAGCAACAAAUUCAGAACAACCUGAUAAAGAAAAAAAAAAAUCAAAAAAUGGGAAUAAGCUCACUUUGCAGUUCCAUAAUUGACAAGGUUAGCAAAAAGAAUCCCGAUGGUGACAUUAAGCUGGAAGAGUAUGUUAAGGCCUCCACGUAUUCUCGUAGGUGCUAUCUCAGAUAGGAAAAGAGGCACCGCCUGUGAUCCAAUAGAAAUUUUAAUUAUUAAAUAUAGUAACAACUGAACCAAAUUUGUCAAUUUCAUACAGAUUAUAGUAUGGUUAUUAAGGUUAUCAAAGAAUCAAGACAACAGAUGAAAAGUCAAAAUUGGUAAUUAGGACAACAUUUCAAUUUUCAGGAAAAUUAAAUUAUUAAAGAACCAGGACAGCAAAUCCCCUAAAGUCCAACCGAGUCAUUUUUAAAUUUAAGGUAGCUGUUAGGUGUGUUUCAAGGUGUACAUCAGCCACAAGACUUGUCACACAGGAAGUCGAAUGUAAAGUCCAAGAAGUGACAAAGGGAUAGGAUUAAAAAAUUCAAAAUUGUCCACCACACAACCAAUGACUAGAAUCUGAAACCGAUAAUAUUAAAAUAAUAAAAAAAAAAGGACUUUUCAAAAGAAAAAAGGAAGAUGCAGAGGAAAUCGGGUUCUUUUGCCACUUUUUCUGGACACAUCCCAACUAAACAUCUCUUUCAUAUGAUCUCAUCUGAAAUAAAGCCAAUCAAGAAAAAAGGGGUCUCUGUCACAUGUAUAAAGCCUGAAAAACUAGAAUAUAUUAAAUCCAGGAAAUUAACAUAUAACUAUCUUUACCUCCUGUAACCAUAUCCCAAUAGUUUAAUUCAUGUUACCAAAAUUAAUAAACUUUGACAUUUUAACAAAUUAACUCAAAUUUUCUUACCAAACAUCGUCCCCAGAAUGUAUGGAAACCUUUGUUAAUUAUGGAUUUAAUAUUAAUAAAUGAGUCAAAUUGUUUUUCAUAUUCAACAAUUGACAGCUUGAAAUUAUAAUUCACAAAUACAGAUAAUUUAUAUUUUAAUUUAUUUUUGGUAGUUAGGUGUCAAUCAACUAAAGUUUAAAUAUAAUUAUAUAAUGAAAAGGAUAAAAAAAAAAAAAGGAAAAAAAAAAAAAAAAAGGAAAAAAAAAAAAAAAAAGGAAAAAGAAAAACCAACCUGUUUACCAAAACCGACUCCGCAUCCGAGUAAAAUCCUGCCAAUAAUGAGCAUGGCAAGGUCUUGAGCAGCAGUAUUAAGAACUACACCAACAAUGAAGAAAAUCCCAGCAAUCAACAUGGUUGGCCUUCUUCCUAGCUUUCUUGUAGUGUAGGAUGCAAAGAAAGUUGCGAUCAAACCGGCCAAGUACAGUGACGAUGUGAACAAUUGCAGCCCUUGAUUAUCAUACUUGCAAUAGUUGCUGUUGAUAUUAGGAUCCUUUGUCUUGUCAUAUACGGUAGGGAAGAACUUUUUCAAGAAAUCUGGCAUGGAUGUAACCCCACCUGCAUCGUAUCAAACCAUAACUAAAUUAAAUCUACCAAAUCUUUUUAUAUUAUAUUUAAACAUUUUUUAUAUCCUUCAAAAAAAAAAAAAAAAACUUUGUUGUAACAAAUUGAACAUGGAUUAAAACAUUAAAAUUAACCUAUGGUUACAGGAACAUAUUAUUGUCGGUGUCUGUCUCUGUAACCAAGCAACAACCGCAACGAGAUCUCUCGUCAACGGUUGUGGUAACUCAAUUUCCAAAAACACCUUUAUGUCAUUAAAUCAAGCAAGGGAUUAUACGGUAAUUCUAAGCCCAACACAGCCUUUUCGGCUGCUUUACAAGCUACAUACAACUCCAUUUUGGCGGGACAGAGCGACGUGCCUUUUUUCGUUAGCCUUUUUUCCAUUUUUGAAAACUCUAAAAAACAACAAUAUAUUUCUUUUCUUUCCUUUUCAUUUCUUUCCUUUCUGGUUCAUUGAAGAAAUUAUUAAAUUUCAGCUAAAAAUAUAAUAGUAUUGAAAAAGAAAAGCAUAAUAACCUGAAAUUCCAACGUCGUAACCAAACAUGAGGCCACCAGUAGCAGCCAUUAUGCAAGAAAUGAUGACGAUCGGCGUUAUCUUCGCCUCGAAAUGAACUCCUUCGGCCGACGCGGCCGCAAAACCUCCGGCAGGCAUGAUUGGCGAUCAAAAUCAAAACACCAACGAAACUUAAAACUCGAAGAGAAAAUCACUUGCACUAACUAUAUAUAUAUAUAUGUAUAUUUAUAUAUCAACUCUUCCAAUAACUUAUGUAACUGAGAGUUUGAGAAUGGAGAAGAGGAUAGGCUUAUAUCUUGUGAAGUGGAAAAUGGCAGGAUGAGGAGAGGAGCUUAUAUAGACGCGAUAAGAGAGUUAAAUGAAAUGACCGUGUGCAAUUUACGAAAUGGAUGAUGUUGGUGGGUACCACCGCCAGAUCUUCCACGUGGCGAUUCUAAGUUAUACUCUACCUUCCACGGCUAGCAGUCAACCAACGGCUCUAUCAGAUUCUCAACUCCCACCUUAAAAAAAAGUUUAUAAUAUUAUCUUAAGCCAUAGAUUUUGAAUUUCUUUUUAUUUAUAUUAUUAUUGUUAAUUUGAUUUUUGUGUGUGAAAUGAAACAGACAUCCAUAGAAUGUAAUUACGAGGGGAUGCGAUGGUGCCACGUCGUAAGAACAUGCAGUUUAAGAUUGAAUUGAUAGUCGGCUUAUUUUUAAUCAACAUCAAGAAUAAUUAAGUUAAGUUGGAAGAAACGUGCAGUUUUUUUAUUUUUAUUGUCAGUGAAAACAAGAACGAGAAUUUAAAAUAAAUAAAAUGAAACAAGAAAAGAAUAUUUGAAAAAUCAAAAUUGGAGGUUAUGCAAUUGACUUGCUAUUCCUUCUUUCUUAUUUUAUUCUUAUUAAUAAGACAAAUCUUGGAAGAUAGUAGGUUUUGUUUUAUAUGCUAUGAUAAUAACGUAAACAAAUGGACAUCAUAAAUCAGCUUAAACAUAAUGAAAUUAUAUUAAUUUUUCAAACGAUCUUAAGAUAUAUUCGCCUAGGGCAAUUCUGUAUAUUUUAAAAUAUUAUUUUUGGAGUUUAUUAUAAUAAUAUUUCGAUGCUAUUUGUCUAAGAAUAAGAAAAUCAAUCAGAAUAAAAAAAAUAAGAAAAUUGGAUCAAGCAAAUAAGGAAAGGAUCAGAAUCAGAAUCAGAAAAAUAAGGAAAUUGAAUAAGCAAAUAAGGAAAAUAUCAAACGCAAUUAUUGUAAAUAUUCUAUAAUAAUUAUAUGUUGUGUAUAUAAACUCUGCAAUUCACAGAUUAAAAGGAAUGAAAAAAGAAUUCUUUUUAACCCUAAAAGCUAUCAAUUUGAUCGAUUAACUUAAUUUCGAUAUAUAUAUUUUAAUAUAUAUAUAUAUAUAUAAAGGAAAACCAUCAAUUAAUUAGUUUUAUCAAUUUCAUAUAAUGUUUUGGACAAGUGAAGUGGUUUCCAACUCCUUAAUGGUAAUGUAAUAAGGUCAAUCCCACAUGGGAACCGUAUGAUAGCACUUUGUGGAAUUGUCAAUAUUUUUGUUUACUGUACAUGUAAUGUAUAGAAGUACCAUAUUGACAAAUGGAAUUGAAUUGUAAACGCCGCCGUAUAGCUAUCUUAUAGUCAUAAUUUUGAAUUUUUGCAUUGAUAUUCUACGGUCAGUGGAAAAUUUAGAAAACGAUUUGCGACUUGUAGUUUUAGACUACACAAGAUCACAAGAAGCAAGUUGGUAUCAGAAAGCACGGCAGCAUCUAUCUUCUUUCCUAUUACCUUCAAAUGCUUUAAGGCCUUUUGAUUUUUCCAAAAUUGAUGGAUUUUUAUUCCACUUUAAUUUAAAGGGGCAAAGGAAAAGAAAAAGGAAAAAGGAAAAUUCACUAUCAAAGGGAUAAUAAUUUGAAAAGGAGAAAUUUUGAACCAGAGGAAGAAUAAAGUGCUUUACGCAAUUCUAUUUUCAUUUUCAAAGAAUCCAUCGGUUAGUUUACCGGAAAAUCAAGAAUAUUUUGCAUUACACAAAAUAAUAAUAAUAAUAAUAAUUGAUCUAAUCUAAAAUAUUUUCGCAAAUAAAUUAAUAAGAUAAUGUAAUUGUUUUUUAAAGGAAAACUGUGGAUUAAUAAGAUUCUGUCAACUGUAUCUUCGUCAUUGCUUUUAUAAAAUACUAAUAAUUAGUUAUUGUACUAAAUUGGGAUAUGAUUGCAAUAUAGUUCAUGAAACACGUGCAACUGUUCAUAUUAUUUAAAAAGAACCAACGGAAAGAAGAAAAUAUAUUUUCUUUUUAAAAAAUGCCUUUGUUUGGGCUCACGCUCUAUUAUUAUAUAUGAUGAUCUUGCGUGCUAAUAGGACAGGGAAAUAGCGAAUUACUUCUUUUUUUUUUUUUUAAAGAAAUAAUUUUUCAAAAACAAAAAUUUCACACUGUCUAAACAUUUCGAAUCAUGUCGGUGUAAAUAAAAUUUAUGUGAAAAUACUGUUCGUUCCUGUUAUUUCAAUUUAUCUUAAUCAUUGAAAGACUUAAAAUAAUUCUACGCCUCAGCUCAAAAAAAAAAAAAAAAAAAAAAGGAAGUUUGAAUACAUAUUUGGAACCGACAUCCAGGCAUGAGGGAAUCCAUGUGAUGAGGAAAUGUUUUUGAAAAUUUUGUUCAAUCAUUAAUUUGGAAUGAUGAUGUAAAUAUUACGUUACUGAUGUGUAUAGUAUGAGAGGCUACCGAUAUUGACCAUUUUAGCUGUACAAUGCAGUGGAAGAAAAAGCUUGAGCUGUUAUAUUUUUAGAUAAGAAGAUACAUGCAAAGUAAUUAAAAAAAGAGCAAAAACGUGGUGCUAAUUAAAAGUUUGUAGGGGAAAUUAGUCAAAGAGAUGAAUAGCUAAGCUUAAUACAAUAUAAAAGAAAAGGAGACUGUCUGACUGUGUACUGAGUCAGACAAUUAAAAAUAAUAACAGCCACUGUAAAAUCUGACUCGGAAACCCACAAGAAAAUCAUGAUUAAAGAUCCAUGUUUCUCUUUGAAUAUUAGGGUUUCAACUGAUGGUGAUUGAGAAAAUGUAAGUGCUUCCUCCACAACUACUCAACUACUUCAUUUCAUUUCUCGUUCUUUAACUGUUUUCUUCUUCUCAUCUUAACACUGUCAACCAUGGAAUAACUAAUUAGCUAUAUAAUGGCUAAGAAUAAGCUAUUGGCCCUCAUUCAAACUAAAACAACUUUUCUUUCCAUAUACUGAUUGUUUAUAAAUUGUAACCGAAUGGAUUCAUUUCCAUGUUAUGAGCAAUAUCCAAAGAAAGAAAAUGCAUAUUGAACAAAUUUCUAUUUAUUAGAAAGGAAAAUGGAUGGAAAAACAAAUGAUUUAGACCUAAACUCAUGUGAGCAGCAGACUCAUCUUGAUCAAGGAUCAACCUUGAACUAUGGCUAAGCCAAACCAAUUCCACAACAGGAUUUUGAUAAUUCUUCUCUCAAACAAAUAGAUCUGCGAAAUUCAACUAAACCACAUACAAGCGCAGAGCAAAUUCUAGAAUUGGUAGAUAACACAGUAAGUUGUUGGAGAAAAGAAAUAAGGAAAAGAAAGACCGCUGAGAAUGGGUUUUUUUUUUUUUUUCUUAACUGUUUGGUCAGUUUGAUUACAUCUCCAUAUAUAAUACUAAAUUAACAAUAUUUUUCCACGUUUUUUAGGCUACGAUUUUAUUUUUUUUUGGAAAAUAUUUUCUUUUUUUUUUUUUUUUUUGAAAAGAAAAUAUUUUCAAUUUGUAGAUAGAAAAGCACUUGUUGAAUAUCCGCAAAUGUUUUUAUAACAUCAGAACAGAAAAACUUAUCCACAUGUUUAAUCCAAUCAUCACUAAUAGUCACCCAUAUUGUUCAUUAUUAAAAUACACACCAGCAAUGAAUCAUCAACAAUUACUACAAUUUAUUAUUAUUUUUAUAUACUUUUUCAUAUUUAAUAAUAAAAUUUUAAUAUGAAACUUUAUAAUUUUUCAAUUUGUUAUAGUGUUAUAAAUUUAAAAUUUUUAAUUAAUAUUCAGUAUUACAGUUAAAGGGAAAAAAAAACAUGUUAUUUGGAAAAUAAGUUAUUUACUACUGGGUAAGGGCUACAUGAAAUUUGUGAGCCCGAAUUGAUCUGGGCCAACAUUCUAAGCUUUUAGACAGAUUAUUAGCCGCGAAAAAUCGCCUUACGUGUACUGUUCUCGAAGUCAUAAAUUGGACGCUUAUGUUUAUAUUUUCUUUUGUCUAAUUUUCACUAACUAAUAUAUGCAAAGCAACUCAAAAAAAAAAAAAAAAAAAAUCUUAUUUCACCUUUGUAUAUGCAAUAAUUAAGUAAAAGUUGUUGAUAAUCUUCGAAAAGAAUGUAUUCACCAAUUAGCCUUCAAAUGUAAAAAUAUUAUAAAUUUAUCUUUUUACAAACCAAAUAAAAUUAAACUAGCGAUAAUCUGUCUAUACUCGAUUUAUGAGUUUACUUAUUCAUCAAACUAAUAAAAUAUAAUUUUUUAUUAGAACGAAUGUAUUUUUUACUGUUUAAUAAGAAAAUAAGAAUAAUUUAAAAAAAAAAACUCUAUUUUUAUAAACCAUAUAUAGGUAAAUCUAAUCCACUAGAUCGUAGAUUUCUCUUGGAUAACCCAACAAUAUUUAUCAUCAAAUGCAAUAAACAAAUGAUUUCCAAAAAAAAAAAAUCAUCAAAGGAGCUUUUAAUGCAGUAAAGAAGGCCAUAUAUCAUAGAUGAUAGAUGUCCUUUUCAUGUUAUGGAUAUUCCAAUGAAUUUUUACUUUAAGAACAUGGAAUUGGGGAAGGAAUUACAUUUUUUUUUUGCCUUUUAUAGUGUUUUAUUUGGCAGAGUACAUUUGCUUUAUUUGGGCUUAAGAAUUAUAAAUUUAUUGCAGGUAAAAACUUAGAAUACAAGUCAUAUUUGGAAAUGUUAGAGUCACAUAUUUGUAAUUUAUGUAACAUAAACAAGCAGUGAAUUUAGAUUGAUUGUAUGUCAGUGAUUAUCAUGUGCAGUUCAGUAACCUAAUAAGCAGUAGGAGUUGAUUUUUUUAUCAUAAACAAGAAGAAAGAGACCCCACUUAUUAUAAUGACACGCUAUCAACACUUGGCCUUGUCAUAGCUUCUUGUGUCACCAUCUGACCAAAAGAGUGUGUGGUGUGUUGGCUAUCUAGUGACAUAAAUUUUACUGCAACUCAAGCAAAUUAACUGAUUUUUUUUCUUUUUUUCUUUUUUUCUUUUUUUUUUUUUGAUGUUCUCCUCCAUCAAAAAAUCAAAAAUAAAUAAAUAAAAUGAGAAAAGAGUAAUUGCAUAUCAAAAAAGUGGAAUAUAAUUAGGACAAAAUUUGUCCUAACUACCUAUUUGCAUUGCCUACCCCAUAAAUCAUAAUGUACCAUCUAUUGGAUUUUAGAUUUUAAUCACAUGUUCCAUCCAAAUAUUAUUUCUGCAUAUCUUAUUAUAUUAUAUUAUAAUAUGAAUCAUGUUUUACGGGAUAAUGUUUUUUUUUUUAAAAGUUACUCUGCAGUAAUAAAUUUAUUUUCAUCUCUAGCUAGUUCUAGAUUAUAUGAAUUAGGAAUUAAAUUGAAUUUUAUAUUUCCAUAUCAUGUAUUUUUUUUUUAAAAUUGCUUAUUUAUUAUUAAAUGGUAGAGAGUUUCAUCACAAUUCAAGAGUGACUAAUUAAUUAAUUAAAAUACUUUUUUUAAAAAAAGAAUUUAUUAAGAUACAUAGUUUUUACUAAAUAAAUGUAUUUUACUGUAGAAAAUUAAUAAAAAAAAGUACACAUCUCAUUCAAAGAAAAAUAAUAAUCAGGUGUCCAGCUGAGGUCUUAAUUACUGAAGUGAUUUUGUAAUGAUUGACGAUCGUUACUUUUAACAAAUAUGGAAAUGGCAAUUUGUGAAAAUAAAUCAUUGAAAUUAAGCAGUUAUUAUUUAAAAUAAUAAAUAAAAAAAAUUAAAAAACAUAGUUUGAAUUCUUGGUUGGGCCAAAAGCUUAAAGAUAUGAUUGGUGGGGUGGCAUCACAAUACGUCACCGUCAAGGCCACAUUAGAUUUACUGUAAUCAUAAUGUUUUUGUUCAACUUCUUAAUAUCAUUUGUCAUUAAAAUUAAUUUCUGGAUAGUGACUGUUUUUCCUUCGGAUUGCAUUCACAAAGAUGUGAUUUGUCCACAUACGCCUUCUUCACCAUUACUUCUUAGGUAACAAUGCAUUUAAUAAUUCCUUUCUUACCCGUUUUUAAUUACUUCUUUUCUAAAAUUUAAAAGGGAUUAGCGACUCUCAAAUCUAAGUAAUUGCCGUUUUUUUUUUUAAUAAAACUGAAAAUUUAUUAAUAAAAAAAUUAGUAUAAGAAAAUUAUAAUAUGCAUAGAAUAGGAAUGAUACAAUAAAUAUAAACAAUUGAAUUUUUUUUUAUUUGGAGAUUAUUGUAGCAAAAAAAUUAAUAUUUUUUUAACUAUAAUGUAAUGAAAUGUAAUAUAAUCCAUAUGAUAAGCAUUUUUAAAUAUAAAUCCCUCUAAAAAAUCAACAAUUAUUCAACACAAAAACUAAAAAAUCUAAUUUUUCUUUUCGCUAUUGUACCAUUCAUUGUAUUUUAACGAUCAAUAAUUUAAAAAUCAUGGUAUAUGUCUUUUUCUUUUUUUUUUUAAAAAAAAAAAGAUUAGGAUGUCGAUAUUUGAAUAAUUAAUAUUGUGCAUUACAAGAUUAAUGAUAAUCUUCUCAACAAAAAAAUAAUAAUAAUAAUAAUAAUAAUAAGAGGAGGAGGAGGAGGAAAAUGAAGCAAUGAUGGGCCUGAAUGGUCCAUGAACUUUUUAAGCCUCACAAGCUUUUUAAAAUUUUUAAAUUUAAAUCCUUUUAAUUUAUGCGUGGUCCAUGUAAUAUUGUAAUAUACCUGCUGUCACCGAACUUUCCCCUGGACGCCCACCUUUUAGUUGAGGAGUGGACCUAUGUUUUCUAUUCCUUUCCAUUAAAAUAAUGAUUUUUUCUUUUUAGAUUCAGAUUUAAUCCCUAAAUCGCAACGCUUAAAAAAGUAAUUCCAAAACAAUUACACAUAAUUUAUUAAAAGCAUACAUUUUUUAAAUGGAAAUUUAAAAAAAUUUAAGAAUUAUCUUUUAUAUGUCAUGUUAUCAAUUAGCUAAUUAGAUACAUAAUAAAAAUAAAUAUAUUGCUUAAAACAAUUUAAUAUGUAAAUAUAUUUAAUAUACACAUAUGGGUCGAUGGUUAUAUACAGAUCAGAGCAAAAUUAGAUUUUAAUUAUUAGAAAAUAGAAAUUAAAAAAAAAAAUUGAAAGCAGAAUAUGGACACACUAGAAGGGUUCUUUCCAAAUAAAUAAACAAUACUGUAAAGCAAUCACACAACAAAUUUCGUUUUAUUUAUUUAUUUAAAUCUAAUAACUCUAAUUAGUAAGUAAAUUAAUAUGUAAUUAAAUACAAAAUUUGAAUUAUAAAAUUAUAAAUAAAUAAAAAUGUGCAUAUAAUUCAAUUUCAAGACCCAUACCAUGGAGUAUAUUUUCCCCCGUCGAUUCUUCAUCAUGGACAAAAAUUGCCAACAAAAUUACGAAAUGAACCUCAACCAAUCACUACAUGCCACUAGAUGGAAAAAUGAAACGAAAAUUCAUUGAAGAAGACAAGAUAACAACUCUAAUAUCACCAUCUUUUUUUUAUUAUUAUAUAAUAAAUAAAUAAAUAAAUAAAUAAAAACUCCAAUAUCACAACUUUGCACUUUCUCUAGUACUGCACGUGGGUUCAUUCCACGUGGCACAUCCUACGUGUCCGAUUAAGAAUUUCCCAAUUUAAAAAAAAAUGAUCCUCUUGCUUGGAUCCUGUGAUUUAAAUACUAUAAAGAAUUGGGGUAUAUAGUAUAAUAAAAAUAAGGCACGAGAAGGCUUGUCUUGAGCCACUAUCAUAAAUAUAGUUUUCUCUAUAUGUAUUGAAUAAAAUAAUAAUAAAUAAGCAACAAUCAUGGUAAGGUUAGGUCAAAGAAAUCCAAAUUUAAUUCCAGUACAGGCAUAAAACAAAAACCUAACAAUUUUUAUUAUUAAAAAAAAAAAAUUUUUGGUUUCAUGUGGGUUAGCGAAUAGAAGAAGGGAGGGGUUAGGUCCAAUCGGUAGCAUAGAUAAGAUCAUAAGAUCACAAAUAGAAAAUAGCAAGGUUUGAUUAUUAUAAGAAAAACAAAACAAUGUGGUGAUAAAGUCACUGUAUGAUACCACACGCUUUGUCCCACUUUGUGGACUUUUUUUCCAUUUCUUCUUUUUUUUUUUUUUUUUCUUCCUUUUUCAUUGUUUAAGCUUUUUUAAUCUUUAAAGGUUGCACAGUCAAUCAACAUAUUAUAACUCUGAAAUUAGGGUUGUGCAAACACACGAUCGAAAAUCAAAACUGAAAUUUUCUUGAAUUGGAAAUAAAUUCGAAAAUCGAAUGGUUUAAUAGACAUUAUUUUUGUCAAAUGGUUCAAUUUAUUAUUAUUUUAAAUGAUUUAACUGAUUAAUUUUAAAAUCUAAAAUCACUGUUAUUUUAAAAGAUUUAUUUAAGGAUAAAGAUGUCAAUUGAAAAAUAAGGAAGUAAAAAUUUAAAUUUGAAAAAAUAAAAUUCUCAAAUCUUGAUCGUCUUGGACCCUAUGAAGCGUGUGAAACAAAAAAGAUUACUUUAUUUAUAAAUAAUAAAAAAAGUCCCAUUAGGAAAUGUUUUAAGAAAGGGUCCAGGUUGCUUGCAUGCCAGCGUGUAAAUACUUGGUGGACCUUUUUUAAUCUAAUCACUAUAUUUUUAUAUGACCAUGUAUAGAUAUUCUUAUUGUAAAUACCACACCCUAAAUUUUGUUGGCAUUAUAUUAAUAUCUUACGUGGCAUUUUCUAUUUGUUAAGAAAUCUAGAUUAAGCAAGAUUCUAUAAAAUAGUAUUUCUUAGUUGUCUGCCAAUAUCAAUAAAGAAAUGUUAAUUGUAUUUUAUUCAAAAUAAUUAAAUAUUACCAAGUAAAUAGUUUAGCAAAAAAAGAAGUAAGAGAUAAAAGUCAUCACCUAUGCGCUUUGUAAUCCUCAAUUUCUUUAAUUUAUGUUUAUCAGCAUUAUUAAUGUUGACAUAUCUUUUUAUGGAUUUGGUCAAAUGGAUCAUAUUAAACCCAUCUAACUUAUGUGUAAAAAUGUGAAUAAAUUAUUAAAAAUCUAUUAUUAAUAUUUUCAUCCACUUUUAUUUUAAUUAUUUUGAUUCAUUUGACAUUCAUUAGUGGAAAAAACAUCUAUCAACUGUAAAAUAAGAAUGACCCAUUUAAUUCACUAAAGUGAUAAAAUUUUUAUAAUAAAAAAUGUUCGAAUAUGAGACUUCCAGCUCUACAUAAAUAGAAAAAUGAAUAAGACUAUACCUCAUUGAUUUUAUUUUUUAUUUUUACUUAAUUGUACUCUAUUAGUGGCUCCGUUAUUAUAAAAUUAUGAAUGUAGAGAAUAUGCUUAUUUGGGAUAUUAAAGUUAAAUAUUUUAGCAAUAUUUAUAUAUAUAUAUUUUGAAUUUCUACGAUUCUAAUUACCACCAACAAUGUGAUUAUUUUAAUCAUAUUAUUAUAUUAAGCAAGACAAUGAAUAGAGAAAUAAUAAAAUAUUUCAUGUGCCUAGAGUCUUAGUAAGACGGGCAAGCCCAACAUUAAACAAUAGGGAUUCUUAAUAAUAAUAAUAAAAAAAAGAACAAUAAACAAUAGGAAUGCCCUCCAAGUGAUACUUAAAAUAUAAUAUUGAUUAAUAAAUUGCAAAGAUCAAGUAAUAUGCUUUUAGACAAUAUCUUAUCAAUUAAUUAAUCAUUACAACCAAAAAAAUAGGUAUCAGGUUAUGGUCCGAUUAUCGAACUCUUAAAUCGGUAGUUUUGGUUUAAUGAAAUACGAAUCAAUCUUUAACGUUUCAUUUCAAUUUCAAUUUAAUUGGUUUUAAUUCACGUUUUGUGGAAAUUUUUUUGAUAUAAUUUUUUAUUUUCAAUCUUAUUUUAGUUGGACGCUCCUCUAGAUUGGACGCGUGGCCACCCUUUAAUCUAAUUGUUGGCUUCAUAUGUUAAAAUAUAUUAUUUUAAUAAAUUGAAAUACUAAUUACUCCACCGACUUUUACUACCAAAAAUUAAAUAUAUAUUUUGAUGUCCGACGUGGACAAAAAUUAAGUUUGAACCUCUCCUAAAGACUAAAAUAAAGGAUAUCUAAUUAUAUUUAUAUACGUUUUUUCAUAUUAUCAUUUUAUAUGAAUGAAUAAACUGAUCUCUAUAUUUAAAAUGAAAUCAUAAUUAUUGAAAAUGCCCAUAAUUAAUUAUAAAUCAAAUCAAAUUACAAAAGAUAGUACCAAUGUUAUAUUUCGUAUUUGGAAUUUUAUUUAUUUUAAUGUUUAAAUAGAAAAUAUUAUUAUCGAGUGUCUAGAUUUUUUAAAAUUGACACUUAUUAGGUAUUUCAUAUUUAGAAAGGUAAUUCAAAAUUUAAAUGGGACAAAAUAGGUUCCAUAACUGUGUUGUUGUCAUCUCAUUUUAGGUGAUGUUUGGUUAGUAGUAAGUAGGCUAGGGAAGUAUAAUUCGCUGGAAAGUGUAUAAAAUAUUUGUAUUCGAUUUAUAUUAUAAAUUUUAUUUCUCGAAAAUUAAAUCGUUCAACUUCCUUUAUACAAUAAAAGUAAAUUUAUUAGAGAAAAUUAAGGAAGUUGCGCCAACGACUUUACCAAUUUAUCAUAUUAUCUAAACAUACUAAAAUUUAUAUUAUAGACCUUAUUGUAAUUUGCACUUUGAAAGUAAUUUAUUUCUCAAAAAAAUUUGAUAAGUGAAUGAAGAGUAAACUCAUAUUCCAUUAUUUCGUUUAUUUUCUUUGUCAAUUACACUUUACACAAACUUUGGAGAUAUCAUAUGUGAGAUCGCCUUCUACGAAGUCUCUAAAGAUCGAAUUUAGUUAAUAAUCUCUUUCAAUUCUAUAAUUUCCUAAAUAAGUAAUAUUCUAUUUGUAUUUUCACGUUAAGCUUAAGAAGUCGAAUUUUUUAUGUGAUUAGGGUUAAUAAUUAAAUAAAUUUAACCCUUCUCAAUUCUCAUGUGAAAUUCAAACAAAUAUUACAUUCACAUCGAAGAGAGGAGGCAAUUUAAUUUGUUUAUAUUUCAAAGCAACCAUAAAUGAAGGAUAAAUAAAAAAUUUUAAUUGGUAUUUUAAUGAGAUUUAUCAUGCCAAACAACAUGAUAUGCGAAUAAAGAAAUCUGAAUUUUCUUUUAUUUAUUUUAAUAUUAGAUAGUAUUUAAUUGUUAAUUUAAAAAAUUUAGACACUCGCUAAUAUUCAUUGUCCGGAGAUCAAAAUAUAAAAAAAAUCCGAAAUUUUCAACACCAAAAAUAAUAUUUAUCCAAAAAAUAGAUAAGAAACAAUUUUAGAAAGAUUGAUUGGGUUGGAUUUUCGGAAUGGAAAAAUGUCCCAUCUAGAGGCGGUACAUAUACAUUGACGGCUAGGGUUAUACACACGGUCACAACGGCUGCCACAGGCAGUACUGUAGACUGUAGUGACGUAGCAACGUGAUCGUACACGUGGCGUGUUCUCAUGGUUUCACGUUAGCGAGGGAAUGAAAGGGCCCUUCAACCCCAUUUUGAUAAAAAGGGACAAAAGGAACGGGGGGAUCAAUUAUGGUGGGUCAAACCCAUUUAAUGUGGCCCCAAUCUGACGUGGCCACAAGGGUCUCUUAAAAAUUAUUUCCUUUCUCACGGUUAUGGAUACAGUGACCCGAGUUGGUUGGCAAAUUUCCUACUACCACAAUCAAAUAUUCCUGUCAUCUCAUUUAUUAAUAUACUUUAUAUAUCUAACUCACCGCACGUAACUCUAUCCUUUCUUCGUCAAGGUAAGAUUUUUACCGGCUCGUGAGUGGGAAAAGGUCGAAGGGAAGGGGGCGGGAGCGAUUAACAAGAUCCAAAGCGGGCGACGAAUAAGUAUACGUGUCAAACAACACCGUGACACGUAAUGAAGGGGGCGUCGCCACGCUGGAGUGCUACUUUUUAAUUCAGUGCACUUGGAUGUGAAUUCCGCGAUGCACGCGUGGAUUAAAAGCAGGAAUAUUUUUAUAUUAUAUUUAUAUUAUAUUUAUAAAUUAUAUUGUAUAAUAUCUUAUGUUGUCUGGUUACUUUUAUCCAGGUCACACUUCUCUUUUAAAACUGAAUAUAAUAUAAUACUACUGUACAACAUUUUAUUUUAUUUUCAUUAACCGCGCGGUGAAAUUUGACCGGGGAGUAGGUUCUAGCUGGGUGGGUUCCCUUUUUAUGUGUACAAGGUGGGACCCAACACACGUCACCAAUAAGCUGCCACCAUCUUGCGAACGUGAAAAUAAGGCUAACGCGAUGAAAAGAAAUUUCAAGAUGGGGAGGGGCAGCUAAUAUGUGAAGGGACCCACAUUUCUCGGAAGUUCCGUGACCGUGACUCUAGUUUCCUGAACAGGCUCUGCAUGGAUCUUAACCGUUGGAUGGAUGAUAGGAUUGAGAUAAACGGCAGAUAUCUGGCUCACUGAUCAACAUGAGUGCAAUCGAGCCUCUUGGUUCGCUGCCAGCUCGGAUUUUUUUGCUGGUUGGAAUCUGGGUUGUGGGAUUUGUUUAAUUGAUGCUCUGGCCACGUCAGACUAAAAUCCAACGGUGCAUAUGUUUGAUCUUACUCAUUAUGCUAGAUCGCAUCCAUCGAAUUCUCUAAAUUUGGUUACUUUCACGUGGGGUCCACCUGUCUUUUUUUGGAAAUAUACUGUAGGUUGCUCUCAUCCGUAAUAAUUAAAUCUAAUAAUAAUUUAUAUAGAAAGUAAAGAAACGUGGAACCGAAAUAAUGGAGUUGACCGGUUGGAACGAUAUUUUCUGCGGUCACCUAGAUUCCUUGUGAUCGUCAUGUUGCUUUACCAAGGUCUCAGUUACCGGCUAUUGCCGGUGACGACAUCUCUUUGGGAAAUUCAAGGGCUGUUAUUAUUAUUUUUUUCUUUUGUUUCAAAUUUUGAUCGCGAUUCGUGGGCUGCGGUUUGUUUUUUUUUUUUUUUUCUCACUCAUCGUCUAGCAUAGUACAAAUUUAGUAUUAAUUUAAUUAUCGACUAAUCAGUUUUUUAUUUGUUGGAACAAAAUAAUAAAAUACUCAAAUAGGUAGUGAGGAGUAAACAUGGAAGCUUGAGGAGGAAGGAAAAAGGUUAAUACGUGGCGGAAUUAUGCAGAAAAGUUAAAGAAAUCACAGGAGCAAUAUUGUUUGACGGUCUAGAUUUUGCCAUGCUGGUUUUAGCCAAUGGCUUCCGUUGGAUUCGUCCUUCAUCCAACGCCUCAGAUGAAUCCAUGUAAUACACUAAACAAAUCGCGGCCGUCCAAUUAAGGCCAGAGCGGGUUUGGCUGAGAGUGAAAUAGCUAAAAAGAUGAGGGAAGAAGAUGUGAGCACAAAAAGAGGACAGAGGAAGAUUUGAGGAGAGAGAGAUACUGAGAGAGAGAGAGAGAGAAGGGCACGGUGGAGGAGUAGGGUGAAGAUAAGUUAAGGGAAGAUCUUUUAACACUGCUUCAUUGAAGAUUGUUGAUUGUAAAGAAUCAGCUUAAGAAGGCUGAAAAUAGGUCUAAAUCUGCAAAUUCCGGUGACCUACCCUCCGUUUCCGGUUAAUAAUGCUCUGGUGAUGAGAUAUAAAAAUAAUACCCUUCUAUUUAUAACGGAUUUGUUAAUAGAAAAGCAUAACGGAGAUGGAGAGAAAUAGAGAAGCUAGAAGAGUCAGUAUGGCCGCUACCAAUGGUUUAACAUCUAGAAGGCGACACAGAAGCGGUAGCCUAAGAGACUCUCCAGGUUCAAAUUUUUUUUUUCAAUCAGAUCUAAGCUCUUUGAUUCUGAUGAAACGUUGUCGUUGCAAUUAAUUUUUAACUGGAUUUUGUUUUCUUAUUGCAGAGGAUGAUGGUCCGAUAGAGUUGCAGGAAACUGCGAGGCUACGAGAUCGAGGGACGGGGAAAAAAGAUCGAGAUCGGGAUCGCGACAGAGAUAGAGACAGAGAGCGAGACCGAGACCGAGACCGUGAUAGAGAGAGGGACAGGGACAGAGAUCGGAUGAGCAGUAGGGGUAAGAGGAGAAGAGGAGACAGGUUGAUGCACGGGAGCAAUAGAGAAGAUGUAGGCGAUGAGAGCUCGGAGGAGAGUGUAAAUGAUGAUGAAGAGGAGGAUGACGAUGAUGGUGGUGGUGUAGGUAGCUCUAUGAGGAUGCUUCCGCCAAAUCCUUCGUCCCUCUCUUCAUCUUCUUUGUCGAACCAUCACCAUCGGAAAAGCUUUCCGCCGCCUACCAAAGUUUUUAGAGCCGCUCCGGCGACAGCUCCAUGGAAGGCACCCGAUGAGAUGAUUGGUGUGUCGGUGCCUAGAAAAGCUCGGUCAGGUAGAGAGGUGGAAGAGAUUUAAAUAGGAAAAAAAAAAACAAGUUUGAGAUUUUUUGUGGAUAGCUUGUGUAUUUGUAUUUUUAUCUCCUCGGUCGGAUUGGGGUUUCAGGAUUAUUGAUAUGAUUUUGUUUGUUAUUUUGAUUUUCAGCAUCUACGAAGAGGUCUCAUGAAUGGGCUUCAAGUUGUGGAGUUGGUGCCGAGCAAAUUCACCGGCAAGCUUCUACGUCUCCGGUGAGAUCGACUGGACCAAGCGUUGCAGCGAUGCUGGCUUCAGCAUCGGCCUCUCCAGCUCCGGUCUCACCGUCUUCUUCUAAUGUUUCUGUUAAGAAGAAGAUGGUCAGUCCUGGAUAUUAAUCUAUAUUCUAUGGUUUUGAUUUUGUGUUUCUGGUUCAAUCGAGUAAGAAGUGUUUUUCUUCUGUUGUAGAAGCCUAAGGGACCGAAGCAGAGACCGCUAAAAUCUUCAUCUAAGUUCACUGUGAGCACAAAAAGAGGACAGAGGAAGAUUUGAGGAGAGAGAGAUACUGAGAGAGAGAGAGAGAGAAGGGCACGGUGGAGGAGUAGGGUGAAGAUAAGUUAAGGGAAGAUCUUUUAACACUGCUUCAUUGAAGAUUGUUGAUUGUAAAGAAUCAGCUUAAGAAGGCUGAAAAUAGGUCUAAAUCUGCAAAUUCCGGUGACCUACCCUCCGUUUCCGGUUAAUAAUGCUCUGGUGAUGAGAUAUAAAAAUAAUACCCUUCUAUUUAUAACGGAUUUGUUAAUAGAAAAGCAUAACGGAGAUGGAGAGAAAUAGAGAAGCUAGAAGAGUCAGUAUGGCCGCUACCAAUGGUUUAACAUCUAGAAGGCGACACAGAAGCGGUAGCCUAAGAGACUCUCC
rnacentral:lncRNA from 1 species